rnacentral:lncRNA from 1 species
CUGAACGUGGUUACUCUUUCACCACUACUGCUGAGCGGGAAAUUGUGAGGGACAUGAAGGAGAAGUUAGCCUAUAUUGCUCUUGACUAUGAACAAGAGCUAGAGACAUCGAAGACCAGCUCGUCCGUGGAGAAGAGUUACGAGCUACCUGAUGGACAGGUAAUCACUAUCGGAGCUGAGAGAUUCCGGUGCCCUGAAGUCCUCUUCCAGCCAUCCAUGAUUGGAAUGGAAGCUGCCGGUAUCCAUGAAACCACAUACAACUCUAUCAUGAAGUGUGAUGUUGAUAUUAGGAAGGAUCUGUAUGGAAAUAUUGUCCUCAGUGGAGGCUCCACUAUGUUCCCUGGAAUUGCUGACAGGAUGAGCAAAGAGAUUACAGCCUUGGCUCCAAGUAGCAUGAAGAUUAAGGUCGUAGCACCACCGGAGAGGAAAUACAGUGUCUGGAUUGGAGGCUCCAUUUUAGCAUCCCUCAGCACCUUCCAACAGGUAAUUUGUCGCGCGCGUGUGUGCGCGUCUUUUCAAUUGAAAACAGCUAAAACACCUCUUCUUUGUUCAUUUUCUUGUUUGUCAAAAUGCUAAUGUGACAAUUCAUUUGGGAGGUAACUUAACGUAUUCAUACUCAAAGCUAUUUCUAUUUCUGAGUGCAGAUGUGGAUUGCAAAGGCAGAGUACGAUGAGUCUGGCCCCUCAAUUGUUCACAGGAAAUGCUUCUAAUCGCGCAAACAAAGCAAGCGGGGAACAAAGAAUCUACACAACAGAUUUUGUAUUACAGAAAGGCUUCUUCUAUUCAAGCGGUUGCGGAAUUUCUUUUUGUAUUCAUUUUCGAAUUUCAUUCAUGUCGAUUUCUCUGUGUUUGUUAUGACGGGACAUGAGCAUGGAGGCGAGCAAAUUAUGAUUAAGAUUCAAUUUUUUCAUUACUAGUGCUUUGUUGUAGAGAAAUUAUGUAUUGUUACUGAUUUGGUUUGGUUGAAGUCAAAAAUCCCCUUCACAACUCUUUUCGUUGUUCUAUAUCUCUCAUCUUAUAGCUUUUCUCCUGAUAAAAAUCAAAUAAAUAUAUAUGUAAUCUGAAUAAUCUUUUCAUAUAUGUAAGUUGAACCAGUGUAUGUUGAAAACAACUAAAACUAAUGAAAGUACGAAUUCGUAUCCAAUCAAUCCGAAUAAAAUAAAGAAUACAUUUAAACUACUUGGGAGCUCUUCUCGGCUUCGAACAUGGAUUCAUUUAAACGGCGGUAGAUAAAAUGCGAAACCCAAGCCACCAACAUAAGAAGCGCGGUAGCAGCCCCACCGACCAUCACAAGAUUAAGAACCAGGAGCGGUCGUGUGAUUUUUGAGCUUGGUGACAUUGCUUUAGCAUUAGACGGAGAACCUGACGGCGAGGAUGGAGAAGGAGAGGGGCUUGGACUGACUACUGGAGCUUCUAUUUCGAGGGCAUUGAUCUUGAUUUUAAUCUUUUGGCCGGCUUUGCAGUGACCAGGUUCACCGCAAAUAACAUAGUAGGUGCCGGGUAUAUCAAAAGUUAAGGCGGUAAAGGUACCGUAAUGAGAUAGGGGAAGUGAUGGAAUACAAUAGUCAUAAUCUGCUUGAGUGACUAUCAUCACAAAAUCAUAUUCAUGUUUGUAAUUAAAUAUGAACUCGUCGCCCACAUAGAAUUUUUUCGAUGAGGCCCACUUGUUGUAAUCAACCGCGCCACUGUCAGUCCACCCUUCCAAAUCGCCGCCAACCGUAUAAACGGUAGCGGAGCAAGCACCAAAGAAAAUCAUCAUAAUGAUGAAACUCACGGCAACAGUGUUUCUUAGAUCCAUGACUAAAACAGUAAACAAUAAACAAGCAAUUAGGAGAGCAGAAAGCAAAGAGAAUGAAUGAAUGAAAUUUAGAUGAAAGGCAAUAAUGCGUGAGCAUGCAUAUAUAUAGAUAGAUAGAUAAAUAUAGUUAGUGUCCCAAACGGAAAAUGUUUCCCAAAUCCAGUUGGAAAACGGUUUAUAAAAUCAGACAAGUACUAGGAAUUCCAUUUAGGAAUAAUAUUGCCCAAGCUUAAUUAAUAAUCGAAUUCCAAUUUUCUGGCGUUUUGUCGGCUGCUUUUGCUUCCAACUUCUGCUUGCUUCCAUGUAUGAUGAAACAUUUUAUUUUAUUAUAAAAGGAUUUUUUUAUAUAGGCGCCUCAGUUUUGAAUUUUCUGGAUCAAACAUCCAUACCUUUUAGUGAUUUGAUUAAACUUUUUUUUAUCAUAAUUUUGGUACUAUAUGCACAUUAUAUCGUAACAAAUUUCCUAUAAUCUAGCCUUUUGAUUACACUCUCCUUCGUUAGAGAUAAUCGUAAAAAAAAAAAAAAAAAAAAAAGAAGGCUGGUUAGAUUCAAUUUAUUUUCACAAUAAUGCUACAAUUUAGCAAUAAUUAUCUACGAUUUAAGAUAUUUUCUUUCCAAAAUAGUUUAAAAUAUUUUUAAAUCCCACAAAAUCAAAUAUACUGAAAUAGUACGUUAAGAGAAAAUAGGAUUGGGAAUAAUAUAAAUGUACCAAUACACAAUGUGUACACAAUAAAAAUAAUGUACCAAUAUUAACAAUAUGUAUCAAAUCAAAUGUACCAAAAUUGCAAAUAAACGUACCAAUUAAUGACUUGUGUAAAUUCAAGCUUACCCAUAGAUAAUAUAUACGUAAUGUAUUGUACCUAAUAAUAAUUCGUUAACAACUAUACUUAAAAAAAACAGCAAAAAAAAUAUAAUUUCACAAAAAAAUUGAAAAAAUUACACGGAGCUUUUAUGUUGAUAACCAACUAUUUGAAAAUAAAAAAACCAUUUGGAAAAAGAAGUAAUAUUAAGGGGGGUGUAUUCAAUUGAGAAUGAGAGACAUUUUAAUGGAUUUAUAAAUCCAUGGAUUUUUAUGGAGUUUAAUUGAUUUGUAGAGAUUCCAUAUAAAAUUUUGAUUCAAUUCCCUCGAAAUCUCAUGGGAAUAGGUGAGAUUUGUGGAUACUUAAAAUACACUACGAAAUCUCUCAAAUUCCCUCUAAUUCCCCAACUUUCUCAAAUUCUUUAAAAUCAAUUUCUAAUUGAAUACACCUGGAAUGUUAUAAACUUCUUUAAAAUCUUAAUUGAAUACACCUGGAUUUUUAAGGAUUUUAAUAAACUAUUUUAAAAUUCUAAUUGAAUACACCUAGAAUUUCAGAGAAUCACUUAAAAUCCUUAUUGAAUACCCCUAGAUUCAUUAAAAGAAUUAAAAUCCCUUAAAAUCCCAAUUGAAUACACCCCCCUAAAUGUUUGCAUAACAAAAAAAUAAAAAUAAAAUUUGUGAUCGAAAAAACAUAUCUGGAAGAAGAGAAAAUAUAGUUUAAUUACUAAUAUCUCCAUUAAAUAAGGAAAAGUGCAUCAUACAGAUAAAAUGAUAAAUUCAAAAUUUAUUUUAAUUUUAAAAAUAUAAUAAUGACAUGUAAUUUAGCUUGAGGUAGCUAUUGGUCAAAGCACUUUAAUCAAAUUUUAAAAAGGCACAAAUAUUUAAUCUAAAUGAUAUAGAAAAACUGUAGGGGAUUCUAAUUUUCUCUAGGGUAAAUGACAAAAAACGACCUCAACUAUUGGUCUCACGACACUAUCAUACCUCAAUUUUUAAAAUUGACAAUGUCAUACCUCAUCUUUAGAAUUUGGUCCAAUGUUAUACCUUCCGUUACUUGGCCGUGAAUUUUUCAGUUAAAUGUUGAUGUGGCUUGAUUCGGGGCCCAUUUUCUAUUAAAAAAUUAAUAAAAUAUUAUUAAAAACUAAAAAAAAUUAUUUAAUAUAUUUGAAAAUAUUAAAAUAAUAAAGAAAAGUUAUAUAAAAAAUAAAAAACCCCUCUCUCUCUCUCAACAAAAAAAAAAUUUGAAAACCCAUCAACCCGUAACAACGCCCCCCCUGAAGAAGAAGAAGAAGGAAAAAAAAAAACCCAACCCCCUGCAACCCAUAAAGAAGAAGGAGGAAGAAGAAGACCCAAAAAGAAGAAGGAGGAAGAAGAAGAAGAAAAAAAAAACCCAAAUCAAACCCAGUUCGUUCCCCCCCCACCCACCCCUCCCAAAAAAAAACCCAACCCCCUUGCAACCCAGAAAGAAGAAGGAGGAGGAAGAGGAAGAAGAAGAAGAGAAAAAAAAAAACCCCAACCCCCUGCAAGCCAGAAAGAAUAAGGAGGAAGAAAAAGAAGAAGAAGAAAGAAAAAUAAAAAAACCCAAACCAACCCACACCCCCCCCCCUAAACAAAACAAACCCAACCCCCUGCAACCCAGAAAUAAGGAGGAAAAAAAAAAAACCCAAACCAAACCCAGUUCGACCCCCCCAACACACACACACAAACCCAACCCCCUGCCAACCCCAAAUCCACCACUCCCAUCCAUUCUCCACAUCCUCUUCCGCACCCAUCCUCCACCUUCUUUGUGCACCCAUCUUCCCAUCAUGAACCCGGCGAUGGCGAUGUAGACAGGAUCAAGGUUUCUUUUUAAUUUUUUUUUUUCUGGGUUGCAGGUGGUGGGUGCAAAUGGUUUAGGGAAGACGGGAGUGGGGAAGAAAGGGGUGGGUUGCAGGAAAUGGGGUCAGAUGGGUUUUUUUUUUCUUUCUGGGUUGCAGGUUGGGGGAAGAAGAUGAAGAUUGGGGGGGGGGGGGGAGGGGGAGGGACGAACUGAGGGUUUUUUUUUUUAUAUAACUUUUCUUUAUUUUUUUUAGUUUUUAAUAAUUUUUUAAUAGAAAAUGGGCCCCAAAUCAAGCCACGUCAGCAUUUAAUUGAAAAAUUCACGGCCAAGUAAUGGAAGGUAUAACAUUGGACCAAAUUCUAAAGAUGAGGUAUGCCAUUGUCAAUUUAAAAAAAAUGAGGUAUGAUAGUGUCGUGAGACCAAUAGUUGAGGUAAUUUUUUGUAAUUUACCCUUUUCUCUAUUAUAAAUCACAGUGAAGAAGUGAGAAUCAAACUCGGGCCUCUGGAUUGCAUGAUGCAAAUGUGGUGCAUAAAAAGAUUUCAAUUUCUCAUUACCAUAUGAGAAAAAGAAGAGGAAUUUAUCCAAUCUGUUUGUACUAAUUGUAGCAAAAGACUUAAUAACUUGUUCAAAUUUAUUAGACAAUAAUUUUUGUUGAAUAAACAAUAUUAUCUACAUUAAGGGAGUAGAGAAGUGGGCUAAGCCUCACAAUGGCUAAUAAUAAUGUGGUUCAAAUUCACUACCACAUUAAGGGAGUAGAGAAGUUGGGCCUGGCAAAGGCUUAACGUUCUUUUUAGGGUAAAAGACUGUUUACUACCCUCAUGUUUCGUGGUUUUCAACAUUUAGUACAUCAUGUUUUUUUCGUCUCAGAGUCAUACCUAAAGUGUAAAUUUUGGGACAGUCUCAUCAUCCGUUAGUCAAACUGUUAAGUUUUUCGUUAACUGUGACGUGGCGCACUGAGUGGGCGCCACGUGUCAUCCACGUUUUUUUUUUCUUUUUUCUUUCUUUUCUUUUCUUCUUCUUCCUCCGACUGCAACUUUCUGUUUUUUUUUUUUUUUUUUUUUUUUUUUUGCUUCUUCCUUUUCCUUCUUCUUCCUCCGAAAUCUGGGGAAUGUUUUUUUUAUUUUUUUUUCUUCCUUCCCCUUCUUCCUUCUUCCUUCCCCUUCUUCCUUCUUCUUCCUUCUCCUUCUUCUUCUUCUUCUUCUUCCUCCGAAAUCUGGGGAAGUUUGUUUUUUUUUUUUCUUUCUUUCUUCUUCUUCCUCAUUCUUCUUCUUCUUCUUCCUAAAAAAAAAAAAAAAACACUUUUAUCUUUUCUUCCUCUUCUUCUUCUUCUUCUUUCUCUUUCCUCCUUCCUUCUUCUUCUUCUUCCUCCGAAUCUGCCCAGAUUCAAUUUUUUUUUUCUUCCUCCUUCUUCUCCUUCUUCCUUCCCCUUCUUCGUUCUUCUUCUUCUUCCUCCGAAUUUGGGGGAAGUUGAAAGUGUUUUUUUUUUUUUUUUUUUUUUUGAGGAAGAAGAUGAAGAAGAAGAAGAAAGAAAAAAAAAAAAAAAAACAUUCCCCAAAUUUCGGAGGAAGAAGAAGGAAGAAGAAGGAAGAAGGGGAAGAAAGGGAAAGGAAGGAGGAAGGAAGGAAGAAGCAAAAAAAAAAAAAAAAAAAAAGCAGAAAGUUGCAGUCGGAGGAAGAAGAAGAAAAGAAAAGAAAGAAAAAAGAAAAAAAAAAAACGUGUAUGACACGUGGCGCCCACUCAGUGCGCCACGUCACAGUUAACGAAAAACUUAACAGUUUGACUAACGGAUGUAUGAGACUGUCCCAAAAUUUACACUUUAGGUAUGACUCUGAGACGAAAAAAAUUGAUGUACUAAAUGUUGAAAACCACGAAACAUUAGGGUAGUAAACAGUCUUUUACCCUUCUUUUUAACUCAUACUUGCUAUUUUGGGUAUUUAUUUUAGUAGAAAUAAACUGUGGUUGACCCAAAAUUCAAAAGUACUUUUGAUGUGGCAGGUUUGGGUAGUGAGCUCACCAUCGUUCGCAUAAACAAAACAAAAGUUUACUCAGCCAAGUUUCUCAAAGAAAAAUGCUUCAAGAUCUGUAAAUUCGAGAGGAUCAAAGCUCAAGUAUCCAAGAUAGGGCUCAUCUUUUGACGAACGUCACAUCUCCAACUUGGAUGAAAAAGAAUGAACCGAGUUAGGAAAUCUUAAUUCUAGAAGAAGAAAACUUCUAUAAGAGGCAACAGAAGGAUUAGAGAAAGGGACACCGAUCAACUCAAGCCAAAAAGACUUCUAAAAGCUCUACAACUUACUUUUCAAUUAUUCCUUUUUUAUCUCAAACAUUCAUUUGUAUCUAUACCUCUACUACUUCCCUUUUGUAAGAUCGAUUCCCUUUGUAGAACCCCUUCAAUAGCACAUUGCCCGCAUAGCACGAACUUGCCCGACAAGCUUGGAAACUUGCCUGAAUAUGUUGAAAACUUGCCCGAUGGCUUGUAUUUGUCAUUUAUUUUCAUGUUAUUGUCAUUAUGCUUUGUUCAUUACACAUGUUAUAAAUGUUUCUUGAACAUUUGCUAGUAUAUUCCUUUGUUUAUGUAUUGUGCUUUAUUUUUUUGCAUCUUCCCUUUACCCAAAGAUUGCUGAUUGGUUCAAAGUCUCCUUUGAUCAGUUUGUGAUCCUUGUUCUUUGGUAUUUAACAUGAGAAAAUUAUAAAGUCCUUGUCUUCAAGGCAUAGAAAAGAAGGCCGGUUUCUUGCGGUGCAAGUAAAUGGCUUAUUAACAAUUUAAAACAAAUAACAUAUUGGUCUUGGCCAACUGGCACGCUGGACAAAAUCACUAUUUUUACAAAAGAGCCUAUGAACCUACUCCAGGCUUGACUAUUGGCUAAAGCACCUCGUGCUAACAAGAGUUCACCACUCACUUUCAGAGGGAGCUUGUGUGAGAAUCCUUCAUCCUUACAGUCUGUAUCCUUAAUUCCAUUUGGUCAACAGUUUAUUUAAUCCAAAGUUCCUAGCCCUUAUUUUUCACUUGCUUGGCAUCAACUAUAAAAACGGAUAUUUAACCGAUUGUAAUAGUCAACCCCCUGUUAUUAUCGACGUCCCAUGACAUUUUAUCCACACCAACAUUAAAAAGCUGUCUGAUUCCCAUUUUCUUCGUACUUGGAAACAAAACAUUGGUUCUUAAUUUCUGUUCUUUCCUAACUUCUUGUAAUUACUCCAAGUCCACACCAAUGGCUCUAUCUAGGCUUCCUCCAAAAGAGAGGCCAGGUCAAAGUUAAGAUAUUGUCCAGUCUUGUCAAGUUGGUGGUGAGAGUAGCUUCGAAAGUCGGGAGAGGGUUGAGCCGCCGUAGAAAGGUGGCGACACAGGUUGUGCAGGGUGCAGCCGGAUAGCGAUCAAAUUAAUCACGUAUAGUUCAUACCAGCAUUGAUGUGUUUAGCCUCAUAAUGUUGGGAUGAGGAUCAGGAGAUGUCCAACAAUUCCCCAUAAUUCAAUUUUGUCAACUAUAAAAAGAUUGGUAUAAUUUUGCAAAGGUGGGAAGACAAAAGGAGAAAUCUUGAAAGAGGAGAAUGGAACUAGUGGAAUUUAUGUGGUUGGUUGGCAUUUUAUAUAGUUGGAGUUUUGGAGUUGCUUCAUUUUCUAAAUUAUCAACCAGACUUAGUUUGGAUUAUAUAAAAAAAAUUAAAACUUUAAUCUUCAUAUCUAACUCUAAAAUAGUCACUUAGUACUAUGGCCUAGUGGUAUUUCUUUUCACUUGUAAGUGAGAGGUCUUAGGUUUGAUUCUCACCAAAGGCAAGUUUGAAUCAUAUUAUUGCUAGCCAUUAUGAGUAUAAGCUAACCCCCUCCCCCUUAGUGUAGAAAAUAUCAUUUGUAAAAAAAUUUAAAAAAAAAAAAAAAAAACUCCAAAACAUAAGGAUUAAUUCAUUUUAUUUUUAACUGUAUGUAGUUGUAUGUGUUUAUAUAUCAUAAUUAACCUCAUACUUGUGAUUUUGGGUAUUUAUUUUAGCAUAUAUGAAUAGUGGUUGGCCCAUGAUUCAAGAGUACUUUAGACAUGGCAUGUUUGGGCGGUAAGCUCACCAACAUUCAUAAAGAAAGCUUACUCAGCCGAGUUUCUCAAAGAAAUGUGCUAUACUGUGGUAUGAUUUGUAAAUUCGGGAGGAUCAAAGCUCGAGUAUCCAAGUGGGAGCUCAUCCUCUGACAAACGUCACAUCACCAACUUGGAUGAAAGAGAAUGAACUGAGUUAGGAAAGCUUAAUUCUGGAAGAAGAAAACUUCUAUAAAAGACAAUAGAAGGAUUAGAGAAAGGGACAUUGAUCAACUCAAGCCACAAAGACUUCUAAAAGCUCUGUAGCCAACAUUUCAAUUAUUCCUUUUGUAUCUCAAACGUUACUUUGUAUCUAUAGCUUUGGUACUUCCCUUUUGUAGUAUCGAUUCCUUUGUAGAACCCCUUCAAUAAUACAUGGUUCGCAACUGCACGAACUUGCCCAACAUGCUUGGAAACUUGCCCGAAUAGGUUGAAAACUUGCUUGAUGGCUUGUAUUUGUCAAUUAGUUUCUUGUUAUUGUCAUUAUGCUUUGUUUAUUACUCAUGUUAUUAAUGUUUCUUAAACAUUUGCUAGUAUAUAUUCCCUUGUUUAUGUACUGUGCUUUAUUUUUCUGCACCUUUCUUUACUCAAAGAUUGCUGAUUGGUUCAAAGUCUCCUUUGAUCAGUUUGUGAUCCUUGUUCUUUGGUAUUUAACACAAUAAAAUUAUAAAGUCCUUGUCUUUAAGGUAUAGAAAAGAACCAAAGUAUAGAUUUAACCCCUCCAGAAUAACAAUACUUUGAGAGAAGGUCAGUUUCUUGUGGCGCAAGCAAAUGGCUUAUUAACAACUUAAAAACAAACAGCUAUUGGUCUUGGCCAGCAGUGGCAUGCCUGGAAAAAAUCACCAUUUUUACAAGAGAGACUACUCAAGAUUGACUAAGACACAUUGUGCUAACAAGAGUUCACCACUCCAUCCAAACCGUCUGUAUCCUUACAUUUGGUCAACUCUUUUUUAAUCCAAAGUUCCAAACCCUUAUUUUUCACUUGCUUGGCAUCAACUGUAACAACGGAUAUUUGACCGAUUGUAAGAGUCAACCAUCUGUUAUCGUCGACGUCCUAUGACAUUUUAUACUCCCACACCAACAUUAAAAAGCUGUCUCAUUCCCAUUUUCUUUGUACUUGGAAACAAAACAUUGGUUCUUAAUUUCUGUUCUUACCUAACUGCUUGUGUUACUCCAGUCCACACCAAUGGCUUUAUCUAGGCCUCCUCCAAAGAGAGGCCAGGUCAAAGUUAAGAUAGUGUCCAGCCUUGUCAAAUUGGCAGUGAGAGUAGCUUCGAAAGUCGGGAGAGGGUUGAGCUGCCGUAGUAAGGUGGCGACACAGGUUGUGCAGCCGGAUAGCCAUCAAAUUAAUCGCGUGUAGUUCAUACGAGCAUUGAUGUCUUUAGCUACGCUGCAUAUGUUAUAGUAGCGUACUGCAGUACUAUUUGUAUUAGUAGAGCACAUGCAUGCUCUAAAAAAUGCAUGAGAAAGGUUGUAAUACGGUGUGCUUUUGGUUUUAUGUAUUGAUCCUACCAUAAGUUCAUAAUAAAAACUUUUUUUUUGUUCUUACUCUUUAUAUUCUUAUGGAGGAUGGAGAGUCCUAUUCUUGUAGACGACGUACUCUUUGUUGUUCGGAUUGGCUUUUAGAGUACAACGGUGUUUCACGAACAUGAAUUUCGAGCUAUCUGUUAUCUGGGUUCCAAAUUCAACCGUGCUUUUUGGAAUGAUCUAAGUAUGCAACAGAUAUAUCUAAUGUAUCUGUUUCAGUUUAUCAAAAUGUGGAUGCAACCUUAACGGGAUGACUCGUUGAAGAAUGUAAAGUCUCACAUCGGAAAUCUUACAAAAUAAAAUACAAUUUAUGCUGACUGGUUCCGCUACUAAUGAAGUGGAGACAUUUCGUAUAAACUCCACACCCUGUUUACUUAAUUUUACCUGAGUUUUUCUUUGUCAUUUAUUCGUUUUAUAUUUUCACAAGAAGUUUCUGCAAUUUUAAGUACAGUUGUAAACUGAGCAAAUAUAUGGGUAACAAGGUUGAUCCAGUCGUGCAAAUUUGAAGCCCUUUUUUAUCCUAGACAGUAUCUAUGACCAUAAAGUUUUAUCCUAGACAGUAUCUAUGACCAAGAACGACAAUUCUUUGCAGUUGAAGCCGAUAAACCGUUCAUUUUAUCAGAAGGGUUAAAAACUCAAAUAUUUUUUUUUGUUAUCAUGAAGUGUGGUGUUGAUAUUAGGGAGCAUCUGUAUGGAAAUAUUGUCUUCAGUGGAGGCUCCACUAUGUUCCCUGGAAUUGCUGAUAGGAUGACCAAAGAGAUUACAGCCUUGGUUCCAAGUAGCACCAACAGAUUUUGUAUUACAGAAAGGCUUCUUGUACUUCUCUGUAUUAUGACGGGACAUUAGCAUGGAGGCGAGCAAAUUAUGAUUAAGAUUCAAUUUUUUCGUUACUAGUUCUUUGUUACUGAUUUGGUUUGGUUGAAUAUGCCUCAUCUUAUAGCUUAUCUCGUAAUAAAAAACAAAUCGAUAUAUAUAUAUAUAUAUAUAUAUAUAUAUAUAUAUAUAUAAUCUUUUCAUAUAUGUAAGUUGAACCACAGUGUAAUUUGAAAACAACUAAAACUAAUGAAAGUACAAAUUCUACAUUCAAUCCGAAUAAAAUAAAGAAUACAUUUAAACAACUUGGCAACUCUUUUCGGCUUGGAACGUGGAUUCAUGUAAACGGCGGUAGAUAAAAUGCGAAACCCAAACCACCAACAUAAGAACCGCUGUAGCAGCUGCACCGACCAUCACAAGAUUAAGAACCGGGAGCGGUCGUGUGAUUUUUGAGCUUGGUGACAUUGCUUGAGCAUUAGAAGGAGAACCUGGUGGUGAGGAUGGAGAAGGAGAGGGGCUUGGACUAACUACUGGAUCUUCUAUUUCGAGGGCAUUGAUCUUGAUUUUAAUCUUUUGGCCGGCUUUGCAGUGACCAGGUUCACCGCAAAUAACAUAGUAGGUGCCGGGUAUAUCAAAAGUUAAGGCGGUAAAGGUACCGUAAUGAGAUAGAGGAAGUGAUGGAAUGCAAUAGUUAUAAUCUGCUUGAGUGACUAUCAUCACAAAAUCAUAUUCAUGUUUGUAAUUAAAUAUGAACUCGUCGCCCACAUAAAAUUCUUUCGAUGAAGCCCACUCGUUGUAAUCAACCGCGCCACUGUCAGUCCACCCUUACAAAUCGUCACCAACCGUAUAAAUGGUAGCAGAACAAACACCAAAGAAAAUCAUCAUGAUGAUGAAACUCACGGCAACAGUGUUUCUAGAGCCAUGACUAAAACAGUAAACGAUAAACAAGCAAUUAGGAAAGCAGAAAGCAAAGAGAAUGAAUGAAUGAAAUUUAGAUAAAAGGCAAUAAUGCGUGAGCAUGCGUAUAUAUACAUAGAUAGAUAGAUAUAGUUAGUGUCCCAAAUGGAAAAUGUUUCCCAAAUCCAGUUGGAAAACGGUCUAUAAAAUCAGACGAGUAGUAGGAAUUCUAUUUAGGAAUAAUAUUGCCUAAGCUUAAUUAAUAAUCGAAUUCCAAUUUUCUCCCGUUUUGUCGGCUGGUUUUGCUUCCAACUUCUGCUUGUUUCCAUGUAUGAUGAAACAUUUUAUUAUAUAAAUCACAAUGAAGAAGUGAGAAUCGAACUUGGGCAUUUGGGUUGCAUGAUGCAAAUUUAGUGCAUAAAAAGAUUCAAAUUUCUCAUUAGCAUUUGAGAAAAAGAAGAGGAAUUUAUCCAACCUGUUUGUACUAAUUGUAGAAAAAGACUUAAUAACUUGUUCAAAUUUAUUAGACAAUAUUUUUGUUUUUUUGAAAAAACGAUAUUAUCUACAUUAAGGGGGUGUGGAAGUGGGCUAAGCCUUACAAUAUGCUAGCAAUAAUGUGGUUCAAACUCACUACCACUCCCAAUACCUAGUCUAUACGCCCAGUGAGCACUUCAGUAUUUGCCCACAAUAUAAAUAGGCAUGUAGAAAACGGGAGUGAGACGUAGGCGCUUUCAUUAGGGUUUUUUUUUUUUUUGGUUUUGUUUUCUUCUCUUGUCCUUAUUAUUAAAUAUAGUUAUUAGAUGAGUUUUAGUUGAAAUUCAAAAUUUUGAAGUCAUUUUCAUUAGUUUUUAUGUUAUUUUUUAACUGUAUGUAACUGUUUGUGUUUGAGCCAUAAUUAAACAAGUUGGGCCUGGCGAGGGUCCAACGUCCUUUUUAACUCAUACUUCUUAUUUUGGGUAUUUAGUUUAGCAAAAGUGAACAAUGGCUGACCCAAGAUUCAACAGUACCUUUUGACGUGGCAUGUUUGGGCGGCAAGCUCACCCUCGUUCACAUAGAAAAAAAGUUAAGAGUCAAGUUUCUCAGAGAAAAGUGCUUCAAGAUCUGUAAAUUCGAGAGGAUCAAAGCUCGAGUAUCCAAGUAAUGGCUCAUCCUUUGAAGAACUUCACAUCUCCAACUUGGAUGAAAGAGAAUGAACCGAGUUAGGAAAUCUUAAUUCUAAAAGAAGAAAGCUUCUAUAAAGGGCAGCAGAAGGAUUAGAGAAAAAGACAUUGAUCAACUCAAGCCAAAAUGACUUCUAAAAGCUCUGCAGCUUACUUUUCAAUUAUUCCUUUUUUAUCUCAAACAUUCAUUUGUAUCUAUACCUCUACUACUUUCCUUUUGUAGUAUCGAUUCCCUUUGUAGAACCCCUUCAAUAGCACAUUACCCGCAUUACACGAACUUGCCCGACAGGCUUGGAAACUUGCCCAAAUGGGUUGAAAACUUGCCCGAUGGCUUGUAUUUAUCAUUUAUUUUCAUGUUAUUGUCAUUAUGCUUUGUUUAUUACUCAUGUUAUAAAUGUUUCUUGAACAUUUACUAGUAUAUUCCUUUGUUUAUGUAUUGUGCUUUAUUUUUCUGCAUCUUCCCUUUACUCAAAGAUUGCUGACUGGUUCAAAGUCUCCUCUGAUCAGUUUGUGAUCCUUGUUCUUUGGUAUUUAACAUGAGAAAAUAAUAAAGUCCUUAUUUUCAAGGCAUACAAAAGAAGGCCAGUCUCUUGUGGCACGAGCAAAUGGCUUAUUAACAAUCUAAAACAAACAACUUAUUGGUCUUGGCCAGCAAUGGCACGACUGGGUAAAAUCACUAUUUUUACAAAAGAACCUAUGAGCCUACUCAAGGCUUGACUAAGGCACCUUGGGUUAACAAGAGUUCACCACUUGCAUUCUGGGGGAGGUUGUGUGAUAAUCCUGCAUCCUUAAUUCCGUUUUGGUCAACAGUUUUUUAAUCCGAAGUUCCAAAUCCUUAUUUUUCACUUGCUUGGCAUCAACUGUAACAAUGGAUAUUUAACCGAUUGUAAGAGUCAACCCCCUGUUAUUAUCGACGUCCUAUGACAUUUUAUACUCUGCUCCCACACCAACAUUAAAAAGCUGUCUCAUUCCCAUUUUCUUCGUACUUGGAAGCAAAACAUUGGUUCUUAAUUUCUGUUCUUACCUAACUUCUUGUGUUACUCCAAGUCCACGCGAAUGGCUCUAUCUAGACUUCCUCCAAAAGAGAAGCCAGGUCAAAGUUAAGAUGGUGUCCAGUCUUGUCAAGUUGGUGGUGAGAGUAGCUUCGAAAGUAGGGAGAGGGUUGAGCCGCCGUAUUAAGGUGACGAUACAGGUUGUGUAGCCGGAUAGCAAUCAAAUUAAUCACGUACAGUUCAUACGAGCGUUGAUGUUUUUAGCCUCAUAAUGUUAUAGAAGUGUACUGCAGUACUAUGGGUGUGUUUGUUUACCUUCAUUAAGUUUCAUUAGACUAGACUACACUAAAACUUAGUGAAAUCUUUUGUUUGUUGUCAGAAGGGAUUAGGUUUAAUGAGAUUAGCUUUCACUUGCACGGACUACAUGCCUCGCUAGCUGGCCUUAGCGAGUCCUCUCGAAACCUAUGGGAUUGCUAAGACUGUGCUCUCUCUCGUCCUUAUGCGCUCGCCUCCUCUCUCUUGGCGUCAUCUGAUCGACUCCUCUAUCACAUCCGCUUUUGCUUGACCCCUCUGGUGUCAGCCACCACUCUCCGCCGUGUUGUCGUCUGAUUGACUCCUUUCUUGCGUCCUUAUCUGCUUGACCCCUUCGGCCUCAGCCACCACUCCCCGCCGUGUCGGCUGAUCGACUCCUCUCGCGUGCUCAUCCUGCUCGACGACCUUGCCAGACCAUCCCACCGACCACUGAAACUCAAGUCACAGUCUUGCAGAUAAUUGUUGAUGUUUACGAAAUCAUAGAUUUUGUAUUUCACAGAUGUGAAAGUCCCCAAUUUUUUAUUCUCUUGCCGCUUGAUUUCGGUUUUGCUCUUUGGUACUUGCUCUAACCCUCACAAGAUUUACAAUUUCUGCUAUUGGUGAUUGGAAUUUGUGCUGUUGUCUUGGAAAUCGGUUUUUUUUUUUUGAACCAAUUUAUCUGUGAAUUUGGUGUUAUGAUUUGUGUAAAUUGCUGCUAUUGUGUUGUGGGCGUUUAGCAAUUUCUGCAAUUUUUUUUAGCAAAAUGGGUAUAUUUCGGUUUCCAAUUUUUGCAAUUUCAUUUACGAUUACUGUUAGCUUGACAUUUCUUCACAUCAUCCAGUUUGCUUCUGUUUUGUAUCCAAUUCAUUAUUCGGAUAUGUUUAUGAGACCAAAAUUCGGAUUAUUUUUUUCAUUAUCCUGUCUCUUAGUCCGACACUGCACCAAACGCUUUACUAAUUUAGUCCAGCAGUCUAAUUUAAGCUAGUACAGCUUAGUCGCUAAAGCUAGUCCAGUCCGAGAUAGUCCGGUACAACAAAAUAUGUAUUAGUAGAGCACAUGCAGGCACUUAAAAAUGCAUGAGAAAGUUUGUAAUACGGUGUGCUUUUGGUUUUAUGUAUUGAUCCUACCAUAAGGUCAUAACCAAAAGUUCGUUUUCUUCUCACUCUUUAUAUUCUUAUGGAGGAUGGAGAGUCCUACUCUUGUGGGCGAUGAACUCUUUGUUGUUCUGCAUGGCUUUUAGAGUACAACGGUAUUUCACGAAUAUGAAUUUCGAGCUAUCUGUUAUCCGGGUUCCAAAUUCAACCGUUCUUUUUGGAAUCAUUCAAGUAUGCAACAGAUAUACCUAAUGUAUCUGUUUCAGUUUAUCAAACUGUGGAUAUAGUCUUAAGGGGAUGACUCGUUGAAGAAUGUAUAGUCUCGCGACGGAAAUCUUACAAAAUAAAAUACAAUUUAUGCUUUCGACCAACGAAACAAAAAACAAUUUAUGCUGAGUACUGGUUCCUCUACUAAUUGAGUGGAGACAUUACGUAUAAAACUCCACACCCUGUUUACAUAUUUUUACCUGAGUUUUUCUUUGUCAUUUAUUCGUUUUUUAUUUUCACAAGUUUCUGCAAUUUUAAGUACAGUUGUAAACUGAGCAAAUAUAUGGGCAACAAGGUUGAUCGAGUCGUGCAAAUUUGAAGCCCUUUUUAUUUUAUUUUAUUUAUUUAUUUAUCCUAGACAGUAUCUGUGACCACAAAGAAUGACAAUUCUUUGCAGUUGAAGCCGACAGACCGUUCAUUUUAUCAGAAGGGUUAAAAACUCAAAUAUUUUUUCUGUUAUCAAGAAGUGUGGUGUUGAUAUUAGGAAGAAUCUGUAUGGAAAUAUUGUCCUCAGUGGAGGCUGCACUGUGUUAUGAUGGGACAUGGGCAUGGAGGCAAGCAAAUUAUGAUUAAUAUUUAUUUUUUUCGUUACUGAUUUGGUUUGGUUGAAAUAAAAAAAGAAAAACUAAUGAAAAGGACUUGAAAACUUUGAGUUUUAACGAUAAUGACAAAAUAAAGGGUAAAAUGAAUAGUAACAUAUUUGACUUUUUAGUGAAAAAAAUGUGGUUUUUCGUUAAAGUGAACAGUACCGGGAGUUUUUCGUUAAAGUUCCCAAUAAAAAAUCAUUUUCACUACUCUUUUUGUUGUUGUAUAUGCCUCAUCUUAUAGCUUAUCUCAUAAUAAAAAUCAAAUCGAUAUAUAUAUACAUAUAUAUAUAUAUAUAUAUAUAUAUAUAUAUAUAUAUAUGUAUUCUGAAUAAUCUUUUCAUAUAUGUAAGUAGAAACAUAGUGUGUAUUAAAAACACAAGUAAAACUAAUGAAAGUACAAAUUCAUUUACAAUCAAUCCGAAUUAAAUAAAGAAUACAUUUUGUUGAUGCACAAAAUCCGGCAGAAUGCACAAAAUCCGGCGGAUCUUGGACCAACGUAAAUCCGACCGUGAAUUAUUCAAAUUUACAAGAACACAAAUAUAUAUCGUGGUUCACCUCAAGUUGGGCUACGUCCAUACUGAUGUCGAUAAGUGUUGAUGAAGGUUACAGUAUGCAUGGAGGCUAUACAGGCUUAGUAUUUGCUCUUUGUAUUAUUCUUUGCCUCUCUGUCUGUUUCCUCUUUGUUUCCCCCCUUAGUGAAGGUGAGGAGAAUCCCUUUUAUAGAAUAAGGGUUUCCUCCUCUUACAUAAAUCAUGGGCUCAUUCCUGAAGCCCAAAUAUCGAGGCCUAAUAUCUGGUACAACAGGAGUCCCCCAAGUCUUCAGUCAAGAGAGUCCUUUGGCUGGAGACUUCAAAUUCAAUCCAUGUGUGGGCCGAAGUGACUAGAUGUCGUUCAGAACUAGUACUCGACAUGAGACGGUGCUUAACGUGAAGCAAUACUCAACCAGAGGUAGCACACGUUGCGAGGCUGCUCGGCUAAAGGCGAUGCUCGCGACGAGACGGUUGCUCGGCUGGAGGCGGUGCUCGUUGCGAGGCGGCUCGGCUUUUGGCGUUCUUCUCUGUGAGUAUGCAUUCGACGUCAGCGUGUGCUCAUUAUGAGUUGAUUCUUGACAUGACUCGGGUUUGCUUGUCGGGUUCGCAUAUUGGGUCUAUGUGUCGGGUUCGCGGAUUGGGUCCACAAGUUGGAUCUUUGAGUCGGGGCCAUAUGUAGGGUUAUCGAGUCGGGGCCAUUUGUAAGGUCAUCGAGUUGGGUCCAUAAGUUGGGUCCGUGAGUUGAGGUUCGAGCUCAAGGGUGUCCAAUUUCGUAGGUGCCCAAACGAGUGGUUAUCUAAGUUUGUGGGUGUUCAGGCACAUAUGUGUCCAAAUAAGCGAGUGUCCGAGCAAGUGGGUGUCUAGUUAGACAAGAGAUCACCGUUCAGACUAAAUCUUUGUCACCAUAAGCAUGUGGCUCGGUGAUCCAUAGGCUGAUCCAUAGUGUUGACCACCAUAAUUUGGGUCCUUGGUUAAUCAAUUAAUUGUAUGAGUAUCGUAUACAAGUAAUCAAUCAUUAAAGUGUGCAUAUUGCGGGUAAUGUCACACAUAGAUCAUAUAAACAUACAAUAAUGUAGUAUGCCUAGUGAAAUGUGUAUGUGACAAUAUAAUUUAAUGAAAUAGGAGGUGGCCGACAAUAUCAAAGGGUAAUAAUACUAAAGUUAUGAUAGGAAUGAUUAUGGUUUGUGAUGUGACCCGGCAUAAUAAACACACAUCAGUAGUCAUGUAGCUUUAAUAUAAUGACAAUGGGGACGCAUUAUAUAUAUAUAUAUAUAUAUAUUUUGUCAGGUGCCGACUGUAUACACACAGAUCAUGAAAAUAAAUAAUAUAUUCCUAACUGUGCACUAAAAUAUAAGUGUGAUAGAAAUGACGUGGUCUCUUUUUAAAGAAUAUGCACACUAUAAAGCAAACUACUGGUGGCAUAUGCACACUGUAAAGCAAACCAAACCAACAGGGACGCACUAUUAAGUGUGAUAGAAAUGAUGUGGUCUCAUUUUAAAGAAUAUGCAUAUUGUAAAGCAGAUGUUGCAAUAACAAGACUAACACAGAAUAAUAAUAAAAUAUUAAAUAAACAGUAAUAAUAUUAAACAAAUCAUUUGGAAAAAGAUAAAGUUCUUAUCUUCUUCCAUGUUGGUGGUCGACACCCUCCUUGACGAGUUUUUUCAGCACUGACACUUUCAGUGGGUUUCCCCGGCAAGGUAGCCAGCGCCAGAGGCAUUCGGGUAGAGUGGUGAUGACCGUUCGAGUCCCCCGAUUUCAUUGGUAGUGGUGGCAAGGUUGUGAUACCAUCAGAACAGACGGUCGGAGAUCUGGUCGUGGAGACCAUGCGCCUCGCCGUCUGACCUUGCCUUCCGUCGAGUUGUCAAUGCUCGACCUUCAAAGGUGAGGAUUUGAGCAGCGCCGCUUGACUUCAUGAGCGAGAGAGAGAGAGACGCAUGAGUGCUGCGAGAAUAGUGAAUAGCAGUAGAAAUGAGAAGCUUCUGCUGGUGGUAGAGAGACCGGCUGUCGUAGCAGGAUUGGCGCAGUGUUUGAAAAUGGACUCAACUAUAGUGGUGACCUCAUCUUCCCUAAUGGGUCGGAGAGCCUUGAUCCUCUUGGGAGAGAAGAGCUUCAGAGUGCAGACCUUCCUGACCUUGACGUAGUGGGGUUCAUAGUUAGCCCAGAUAAGAUCCUGACCAUCAUUGCUAAACUUCGCGGCCGAUCUGCUCCGAUGCCGGUCCACCAGCUUCUGGUCAUGCUCCUUAAGCACCUCAUUGGCCAGCUUCGAGCUCGACACCACCACGUUCAACAUGGACCCCGUCCACACCAAUACGAUGAGGUCGUAUUCCUGGGCCUACUCGGCGUAGCAGCGGAACCUCAUGGGCUUAAUGUUGUAGAGGUUGCUGACAAUCGACCAUGCACGUGGGCCGGGCGGGAGCUUGAAUCUGAGCCUUUGGUAGAACUUGUAGGCAAGGGAAAUGAGAAUGAUGAUUGAUGAGAUGGGAAGUAGGAGUCCGCCGGAGAGAGCCAUGUUGGAUUGAUUGAGCCAAUUAAGGUAAGCGUGGGAAGGAUAUUGAUAUAUAUGAAAGACCCUUGGGAUGAAGUUGGUGAAUGGAUUUAUAUUGGGGAGAGAAAGAGAGAGAGAGAGUUGGUCACUAUGUAGGUGUUUAGUUCUUAGGUUUAUAAAGAUUCACAGUAGAGUAUGGUGAGGUUGUGAGGGUUUCAUGGUGGUGAGAUGAAAAAAAUGAAAGAGAACCGAUAUAGUUUUUCGUGUCGUUUCCCACAGAGGGCGCCAAAUGUUGAUGCACAAAAUCUGGCAGAUCUUGGAACAAUGUAAAAUCUGACCGUGAAUCAUACAAACGCAUACGAACACAAAGAUAUAUCGUGGUUCACCUCAAGUUGGGCUACGUCCACACUGAUGUCGAUAAGUGUUGAUGAAGGUUACAAUAUGCAUGGAGGCUAUAGAGGCUUAGUAUUUGCUCUCUGUAUUAUUCUCUGCCUCUCUGUCUGUUUCCUUUUUGUUUCCCUCUUAGUGAAGGUGAGGAGGAUCCCUUUUAUAGAAUAAGGGUUUCCUCCUCUUACAUAAAUCAUGGGCUCAGUCCUGAAGCCAAAAUAUCGAGGCCCAAUAUCUGGUUCAACACAUUUAAACUACUUAGGAGCUUUUUUCGGCUUAGAAUAUGGAUUCAUUUAAAUGGCGGUAGAUAAAAUGCGAAACCCAAACCACCAACCUAAGAAAUGCGGCAGCAGCCGCACCGACCAUCAAAAGAUUAAUAACCGGGAGCGGUCGUGUGAUUUUUGAUAUUGGUGACAUUGCUUUCAAAGGAGAACUGGAUGGUGACGAUGGAGGAGAGAGGCUUGGACUCACGACUUAAUCUUCUAUUUCAGGGGCAUUGAUCUUGAUUUUAAUCUUUUGGCCUGCUUUGUAAUGACCAGGUUCACCGCAAAUAACGUAGUAGGUGUCGGGUAUAUCAAACGUUAAGGCGGUAAAGGUACCGUAAUGAGAGGGGAAAUGGUGGCAGAAGAUCAGGCUUUAAGCCAAGAGGCUACAAGCUUUUCAAACACUUCGUCUCCCAGUAUAAUUCAUGGUGAGAUCAAUCCAAAUUUGCGUCUGUGCUCCGUGUUGCUAAACGAGUUCAAUUACCUACCGUGGUCACAUGCCAUUUCUCUUGCCUUAGGUGGAAGAUCGAAGCUAGGGUAUGUCAAUAGAAGCAUUGAAGCACCUCAACCAACCUCUACAUCGUAUGGUGCAUGGCAUGCAAAUGAUUAACUUGUUAUGUCUUGGAUACUUAAUUCCAUGGAACCUAAGUUAUCUGAGCUCUUCAGCUACUCAAAGUCCUCUCGUAUUUUGUGGGAAUCUAUCAAAGAGAUGUAUGACAGCCAAAAUAAUGCUGUUUGUAUAUUUCAACUGAAGAAGGACCUUGCUGGGCUAAGGCAAGGUGACCAAUCCUUCGUGCAACAUCUUGGAAGUAUGAAGUCCAUGUGGAAUGAACUCGACAUGUACCGACCACAUACAAUCGAUUCCGCUGCGCUCCUUAAAAGAGCUUAUAAAGACAAAGUGUUUCAACUCCUGGCAAGUCUAGGAGCUGAAUAUGAAGACCUUUGAAGUCAUUUAUUGAUGACCCCCAAUCUGCCCUCAUUUAAUAGUGUUUGUUAAGCUAUUCAAAGGGAGGAAACUUGAUGAAAAGUCAUGCACAUUGAGCCUAAGUCUAACUUUGAGGCUAGGGUUUUCAUUGGCAAUCAUAAACACACAGGUGAAAAAAUUUUCCUGGAAAGAAGGCAAAUUGGAAAUGUACUUACUACAACAUGAAAAGGCAUUUAAGGGAAAAAUGUUGGAUCAUGCACCCAGAGUUAAAACCAAGGUUUGAUAAAGAAGGAAGAAUGAUUAAAGAAGGGAAAGGAACCACUCCAAAGGCUCUCCAUUCAACUAGUUCUUUGAUUGGUGGAAUUGCAAACUUCACUGCAAAUCCAAUAGAUUUGAUAAAUGAAUUUGCUAGUUUUCUUCAAAGAAGAGGAGGCACCACUGAAGAUAAGGAAGUGACCACUAAGAACCCUACUGCCAUGCUAGGAAAAUUCGUAGGUUUCUUGACUGAGACCACAACUCAAGGUAAUGUUUCAGGUAUUAUCACUGCCCUCUCCAAUGUACUCAAUGAAAUUACACAUGAUUGUUGGAUUAUAGACUCAGGUGCCACUGAUCAUAUAACAAACAAGUCUUCUUGCUUAGAUAAGUUUCAAAAUAUGCCUAAAUCUACACAUGUGUUUGUAGCAAAUGGGAAAGGAGAACCUAUUCUAGGAAAAGGAAAACUUAAACUGUUAAGUGAUGAGAUCGAGUCAACAACUUUGUAUGUACCCUCAUUUCCUUUCCAACUUUUGUCCAUAUGAAAAAUCACAACCACUCUAGAUUGCCUUGCCAUAUUCUCUCCUCACAAUGUUGUAUUUCAGGAUCGAGUUAUUCGAAAGAAGAUUGGUGAAUGGUUUCUCUCAAAUGGACACUAUUAUCAUUCCAAGAAGUUCAAGCCUGUUAAAAACCUUAUUGCCAGCCUCAGUCUCCUUUAAGAAUACCAACUUUGGCAUCUUUGACUGGCCUUCCCUUAGAACCUGUGAUGACCAAACUCUUUCCUAAUUUUUGUAAACCUCUAAAUGAGUGAGAGAUAUGUCAAGUGUCAAAAGUAACUAGACUUCCUUUUGUUUCUUCCAUGUCUAGAACCAAUAAAUUGUUUAAGGUUGUUCACUCAGAUUUCUGGGGUCCUUCUCAUGUGACUCAUUUGAUGGAUAUAAAUACUAUGUCACUUUUAUUGAUGACUACUCUCGGGUCACUUGGGUUUAUCUCUUAAAGUUCAAGAGUGAAUUUUUUGAUGCUUUCAAAGACUUUCAUAAAUUGAUCACAAACUAAUUCUCAUCUAAGUUAAACUCUUACAAUUGGACAAUGGCAUUGAGUACACAUCCAAUAACAUGUCUAAUUAUUUGAGCAAUCAUGGGAUUUUACAUCAAACUAGCUGUGUUGGUACACCACAACAAAAUGGUGUAGCUAAGAGAAUGAACCGUGACUUAUUAGAGAAAACAAGGUCUCUUAUGUUUCAAAUGCAUGUUCCCAAAAGGUUUUGGUCUCAGGCCCUUCUCACUGCAGCUUACAUCAUCAACAGAUUACCUACUCGUGUUUUAAAAUCAAAAUCACCUGUUGAAGUAAUGAAGGGAAGAAAUAUUGAUAUCUUACACCUCAGAACCUUUGGGUGCACCUGUUAUGUACAUGUUCAAGCUGCACAUCGAGAUAAGCUUGAACCCAGAGCUGUCAAAAUUGUGUUUAUGGGAUAUUCAAGCUCUCAAAAAGGAUAUAAAUACUACAAUCCUCAUAAUGGAAAGACUGGAGUCUUAAGAGAUGUUCGAUUUGAUAAGCAUACUCCAUUUUUUCACAAAGGUUGCAGUGAAGAACCUCAGGGGGAGAGUCCUAUGGAAAUAUUUCCUUUGCCUACCCCAGCACACCUACAUGAAUGCAAUCCUUAAAAUGUUCUUUUCGAAUAUCUCUCAGAGCAACGUGAUGGUGAGGAAAUAGCUCAUGAUCAAGAAAACUCAGUCACUGCACCACAACCUGUCUUGGCUCCAUGAAGAAAUCCUACCCGAGACAGGCAUCCUUCAUUAAGGCUGUAAGAGUACAUUACAUACAAUGCAAGACAUCCUAUCUCUAAAGCUUUAACCUAUCAAAAACUGUCAACACCAUAUGCAACAUUUCUCAAUCAGUUGUCCACUAAUGUUGAACCAAGGAACUUUAAUGAAGCUUCUCACAUUCAAGUAUGGCAGGAAGCAAUAGAAGAAGAGCUCAAAGCACUGAAUGACAACCAAACAUGGAGUGUGGUUGAUCUUCCAAAGGGAAAAAUGGCAGUAGGGAGUAGGUGAAUAUACAAGACAAAGUUCCAUUCAAAUGGCAGUAUUGAAAGACAUAAGGCUCGAUUAGUAGCUUAUGGCUUCACACAAACUUAUGGCAUUGUCUACAAGGAGACAUUUGCUCAUGAAGCCAAAAUGAGCACGGUACGAGUGCUGUUGUUUAUCGCAGUUAAUCACGACUGGUCUCUAUUGCAAAUGGAUGUGAAAAAUGCAUUCCUCCAUGGUGAACUUGAAGAAGAGGUACACAUGAAGCUUCCUCCCGGACAUCCACAAGAGCAUGAAACUAACAAAGUUUGCAAACUUCACAAGGCUAUAUAUGGACUCAAGCAAUCCCCUUGAGCCUGGUACUCGAAGUUAAGCUCAGUUCUUGAAGCUGCAAGGUUCCAGAGGAGUCAUGCUGAUUCUUCAUUGUUUGUUCGUAAUGGUACAAAUGGUAAGGUCAUUGUCCUUAUAUUUGUUGAUGACCUUAUUAUAACGGGUGACAACAUAGAAUAAAUCAAUGCUCUCAAAUCCUCUUUUCAUCAACAAUUUGCUCUUAGGAUUUGGGAAUCUUAAAGUACUUUCUUGGCAUUGAAAUGGCCACAUCAUCCAGAGGAUUGUUCCUAAAUCAAAGAAGAUAUGGACUUGAUCUAUUGGAUGAAGCUCACAUGUUGGAUUGCAAGCUAGCACGCACCCCUCUUGUGAGCAAACUUCAAUUAGAUGUCCAAAGUGAACCAUUGUCAAACCCUAGUGUCUAUCAACGUAUGGUAGGAAAGCUAAUCUACCUCACAAUUAUAUGACCUGACAUUGCUUAUUCAAUAAGCCUUGUUAGCCAAUUUAUGCACUCUCCCACACUGAUUCACUGGGAGAUUGUCAAAAGGAUACUUAGAUACUUGAAGGGGUCAAUUGGAAAAGGCUUGCUUAUGAAGAAACAUGGCUCAAAUCACAUUAUGGCAUACACUGAUGCUGAUUGGGUAGGUAAUGCCCUCGAUCGCAAGUCUACCACUGGUUUCUGUACAAUUGUUGGUGGUAAUCUUGUCACAUGGAAAAGUAAAAAAUAAACGGUGAUUGCGCGAUCAAGUGUUGAGGCCGAGUAUAGAGCCAUGGCAUCAACGACUUGUGAAUUAAUCUGGUUAAAGAGUCUCCUAGCUGACCUUGGCUACAUCGACACAGAAUACAUCGACACAGAACCUAUGUCUCUAUUUUGUGACAACCAAGCUGCCAUACACAUAGCUUUGAACCUAGUUUUUCACAAGAGGACAAAGCAUAUUGAGGUUGAUUGUCAUUACAUCCGUGCCCAAGUGCAAUCCAAAGUCAUCAACACAGUGUACACUCGAAGUUCCGAUCAACUUGCUGACUUGUUCACAAAAGCUCUCGACUCUACUCAUUUCCAAAGAUUGUUGAGCAAUCUUGGAUCAAUUAAUCCUCUUGAUCCAGCUUGAGGGAGUAUUGAAACUGACCGGGUAUGAGCAUGCUAGAGUCUACUUGGGUCUAUGUUGGAAGGUUGCUCAAGGCACAUCACAACUCAUCAAAUUUCAAGUUGCAACUGCAACUCUAGCCCUCAUUCUCGGGUAGAGUUGCAGCUGCUACUAAACCGUCAUUUUUUGUUACUAACUAUCCCUUAAUUCUAGGGUUUAUGUCUUUUAGUAUUUCAGCUCUAGAUUUCUUGUAACUUGCAACUAGGGCUAGCCUUUUUAUCUUUUGGUCUCUUCCUUGCAGCUGUUUUGUAAUUGUUCAAUGGGUUCUUUGCUUGGCUCGGUCUCUCUAUAAGAGCCCUCACUUGUAAUACCAAUACAUGAUGAAAAUAUACAAAUGGUUUUGUUAAACUGAAUUCCAAUAACAAUUAAGCAAGUUUGUCUAUUGUGGAUACAAAGUCAAGCAAACAAGAUCGAGCAAAAUCAUACUUUGUGAUUACAAAGUCAAGGGUCCAUUGUAUAGGCGCUCAUUGUUGUAUAGCCUAGCUUUUAUUACAUGUAGUAGGAUGUAGUUGGGAGCUGCUGCCUUUAUUGUCGUGAAACUCUAGCACUCCUAUAUAAGGAGUUUCUUGUACCGUUUCUACAUAGAAACACAUCAACAUAUUAUUUCUCCAAAACAAAGCUUAAUUAUAAGUUUUCAAAUACCAUUCUCUUCAUGGUAUCAAUAGCCAUGUGUCUAACGACAAACCUCUAACUGAAUUUUUCCCUCUUCUUCUACCUUAAUCUAGUGAGUUUGUGACUGUAAUUUUUUUUUCUCUUCUGCCUUACCAUCUACUCGACUUUUCUUCAGCUUCCAUGGCCGCUUCUUCUCUUCUUACCAGCUCCCUUCCUAAUAUUUCCUAUUUGGUUUCAAUAAAACUUGAUCGAACCAAUUACAUAUUGUGGCUUGCCCAAUUUAAUCCUUUACUUAAAAGUAAUGAUCUUAUUGGCUAUGUUGAUGGUACAAAAACAUGUCCAACAAAGUUUCUUGAGGAUGUUACUACUCUCAAUCCCGAGUACGUGACUUGGCAGCGACAAUACCAACAAAAUAGUACUGCAUGCAUCAGAUACAAAGAUGGAUACGAGAAUUCACUGGCAUCCAUUGACUUUCAAGGAAAAGAAGAAUGAUGGUCCACUGCAGUUCUGUAAGGGAUGCCUGGAACCAGUGCUUGGGCCUCACUACACUUGCGACACGUGUAACAACAUUUACUCGUCCUAUGCCCAUAAGUUCAAUAUACAUAAAUCAUGUGCGGAGGUACCCCGUGAGAUCCACCACCUUACCCACUCCAAACACCCUCUUCUUCUCAAGUAAAACGACCACUACACAUGUGGUGUCUGUCUGUAACUGUAACCAGUCACAUCGAAGAGGAUACAUUCUAUCUCACUAUUGUUCUAAAUGCAACUUCUGUAUAGACCUGAAAUGUGCUUGGCAAAACCACGGUGAGCACAACUUCACCAUCCUUAGGAAGCCCAUUGAAUUCACUUGCGAUGUCUGUGGCCUAGGUGAUGGGUCUGGUUACAAAGACAACUUCUACCUCUGCAACAUUUGCAAGUUCCUUGUCCAUGAGCAAUGCUCUUGGUUACCACUUCGAGUCAAAAUAUCAUGGCACCAACACUGCCUCAAGCUUACCUGGUGGUUCCAAGACAUGUACCCUAAAGACCAAUAUUUCUGUGACAUCUGCUCAACAAACAUGGACGGAAACCGUGCUUUGUAUUGUUGUCAUGAUCAUGAAUGUCGUGAUUAUGCUGCCCACUGUAAAUGCUUAAGAAAAGAGGGGAUAAUCAUGAACGUCCUUGUCGAUGAUAAUGAUGAUGAUGCACCAUCCACAUCCAGAUGUCCCCCUGCUAAUGAGACCACCGCUGAUGAUAAACCCUUGCAGAUCGAGCACUUCAGUCAUCCACACAUGUUAACCCUCAUCGAUAGCCAAGAGGUGGCUAGACAAGACGACCAAGAUGAAGGAAUUACUUGUAACGGUUGCACGCUACCCAUCAUGAGGGGUGAGUCUUAUAGGUCAUGCACAGAACAAGCAAUAGAAAAGCCAUGUAAUUUCUCUCUCCACAUAAAUUGUGCUAAAUUACCCCGAAAGAGGCUUCUCCCACUUCACGAACACGAGCUCACACUCCUUCCAACAGCAUCUUCUGUCGGUGACGUUUUUGAGUGUGACAUGUGCAAGUCCUUGAGCCAAGGUUUCUCAUUCCAUUGUGAAGAUAGCGACUUCAAACUAGACCUCUAUUGCAAUAUUCUUUAUGAGCGUAAGCCUCUCCGUUGUGAUGCUCAUGUUCACACACUCCAGUUCAGCACAGAGCUCGUGUCCUGCAGCAGUUAUGGUACUCGUGAAAGGAUUUCUGCUUCAGAUGUGGCCGUAAGAGAUGCGACUUCCAGCUGUGUAUUCUGUGUGUUAAAUUACCUCUUACGGUUAGGUACAAUUACGACGAUCAUCCUCUCAAACUCACUUAUGCUAGUGUUAAAAAUGAGCUCGAUGAGUACUAUUGUGACAUAUGCGAAGGAAAACGAGAUCCAAAACAUUGGUUCUACUCCUGCCUGGAUUGUGACUUUGAAUGUCAUACUCAUUGCAUUAGAGGGAGGUAUCCGCAAGUCAAGUUAGGGGGCUCUUACAAGCAUCAUGAUCACCAGCACGACGUCGCCCUUGUUUAUAAGAGAAAAGGCAAGAUUCCUAAUGAUAAGAGAGAGCGCUUACUUCCUUGUUCCAAGUGUUCUAUGAUUUGCAAAGGAUUGGUUUGUGAAUGUUUGGUGUGUGGUAUUAAUAUGCACCUAAGGCAUAUAAGAAAGCAAAAGCAUAUAAAAUUUCUAUUUUGAAAUCUUGCUUUUCAUUGUUUGCGAUAGGCCUGGCAAUCGGGUCGUGUCAGUCGUGUUCGUGUCGUUUUCGUGUAACACCUGUUAGCUUAACGGGUCGUGUCGUGUCACACCCGUUAUCUUAACGGGUCCUUAACAGGUCGGGUCACUUUACCCGUUGGGUAAAGUGACCCGACCCGACCCGUUAUGACCCGUUAUGACCCGUUAAGAAAAAUAUUUUUUUUUUCUUAAACUUGCACAUACUACAUAUUGUCACAUAAAUAUUACUUUAAAACAUUAAAACGCAUUUGUUGUUUAAAUACUACAUCAACACUCGAAAAUAAGAGUAAUAAAAAAAAUCCACACAUUACUAAUCUAUUACAAAUAUUAAAUAUGCAAGGAUAUGCAAAAUGAAAGCGUUUUGUUUUCAAGGUUGUGAAGUCUUUUUCAAAAGUUUAAACCUUGUCAAUGGAACUCAAAGCUUGCAUGCUAUUCAUUUUACAAAAUCCUCAAUUUACGUCGAUCAUCAUGAGGAAGUUGCAUUGGAACUUUGGCUUGAUCUAUUGCCUUCUUCAAGAGUUAUGUUGAUAAUGUUUUCAGUAAGAUUUUCCAUGUCAGAACUCUCUUCCGCAUAAACUAAAUAUAGAAAAACCAAACAUUAAAAAUCAUUCAAAUUAUAAGAAAUUUACCAAAAUAAUUAUGAAAAGAAAUAAAACAAUAGUACUAUACCAUAUAAAAAUAUAUUACCUCCUUUUCCAAAUAGCCAAUCUCGUGUGCACAACAAAGCUUGAACUGUUUCUGGUAACAAUGAACUACGAUACUGAUCUAGUACUCUACCCCCAAUACUAAAUGCAGAUUCUGAUGCAACAGUUGAAAUGGGAAUUGUUAACACAUCUCGUGCUAACUGAGAAAGUAUCGGAUAAUGAAAACGCUCCAUUUGCCACCAAGAAAGAACAUCUAUGUCUACUUUUCUAUCUAUUCUUUUAUCCUCCAAAUACUUCUGCAAUUCAGUUUUUUCAAUCGAACUUGAACCAUCGUAAUUAUUAUCAAAAUCCUACAUCAUAAAAAAUCAUGCAUCAUGUUAAUUUCAAAUAUAAUAUCAACACUUUUUAUACUACUACUACAAUCUACAAAUAUAUAAAGUAAAUAAAAAAUAAACUUAGGUUACCUCAAAGAGAACAUCUACAGAUUCUGUUUGAUGAUUAGGCACUGAAUUCCUUGGAGUAUUUGAAUUAUCAAGAUGUGAAAGUUUUUCCAAGUACACACCAAAAAGAACAUUCAAUUUGUCAUUCACACCUUUGUAAAUUCGACCGAAUUCACACCAUGAAGCUUUGUGUAAGCCCAAUCCACAAAAUUCAAUUUAUAACGAGGGUCUAAGAUGAUUGCAAUUGCCAAAAUCAAACUAUACUCUGACCAAUACUUCUCAAACUUCAUGUACAUGUAAGUCGCCAUCUUAUUCAUGAAACUUUCAGAGGCAUCCAUGGCUGCCUUAAUUUGAAGUUGGAUUACGAACACCUUAGGGAAGAACAAAUUUGAUGUAGGGUACUUUGUCCCAGAGAAUAAGCACGUAACCUCAUAAAAGUACUCCAAAAACUUGGAAAUCUUCAUUAUUUUAUCCCACUCUUCAGAAGAAGGACAAGUAUUAAAAUUGGAAUCACUCAACCCUAAAUGAAUCAAAGCAUAUCGAUAGAAAAUUGCAUUAUCUAGCAUAAUGUAGGUUGAGUUCCAUCUAGUAGGGACAUCUUGUCUCAAACCUCUCCUACUAUCCAAUAUCCCCACUUGUCUAACACAUUCAUAAAACUUUAGUUUUCUAGCCUCAGAGCCCUUUAUAUACUUGACGCAUUCACGAAUCUUUAUCACCGAAGAAUCAAUUUCUUUAAGUCCAUCUUGAACUAUCAAAUUCAAGACAUGAGCACAACAACGCACAUGAAAGAAGUCACCAUUCAUCACGAGAAGACUUCUGAGAUUCAAUUGAUUCUUCAAAAUGCUAACAAAAGAAAUAUUUGAAGAAACAUUAUCCAAAGUAAUAGAAAAUAACUUCUUCUCAAUUCCCCACUCAGUCACCAAUGCAUUAAUUUUCUCAGAUAAUGCAACACCAGUAUGAGGAGGAGGCAUGUGACAAAAACUUAAAAAUUCUCUUAUGCAAUUUCCAAUCUUUGUCUACAAAGUGAGCAGUAAGAGCAAGAUACCCAUCAGUGCAUUGCGAGGUCCAUAAGUCUGAUGUCAAACAAAUUCUACCUUCAACCGAGUCUAGCAAAUUAUGAAGCCUUUGUUUUUCAUUUUUGAACAUCCUUAACACACAGGCUUUAAUUGUAUUUCUACACGGUAACUUAAUAUCAGGAGAUAUAUAUGCAAACAAAGCCCUAAUUCCCUCAUAUUCAGAAAAACUAAAAGGAAGAUUAUGCUUGAUGAUGGCCUCUACCAAUAAACCACGAAAUACCACCGGAUCAAAGUUUUGGGAACAGAAUUCAGACACCGACAAUCCAACAGUCUGUCCAGGGCAUGUUUUCAAAUGUCUAUUCAUAUUACCCGUCCCAUGAUGACUAUCAUCUAUUACCAGUUUCUUACAAUCUUUACAUUGAGCACGACUUUUACCAUCUUCAAAAAUAGUAGUCAAUUUGUUGAAAGUUUUCCAAACAGGAGACCUGAGUGUUCGCUUACCUAAUUUGAUCACUCUAGCCUUUUUCUUUGCCGGACUUGUAUUUGUAUCUUCCAUAUUUUCACUUCCAUGAUCAGGUUGUAUUCCCAUUGUCACUUCCACUGAUCCUCCAUCACUAAGGUUCGUAAAAUCUUGCUCUACAACAUCCAUUGCUUCAAGAAAGAAAAACAAAACUAUAAAAUCUUGCUCAUACCAAUUUCAUACCAUAUCUAUUUCAAAUUCACUUAUCCAUUUCAAUUUCAAAUAGAUCAGCACAUAGAUCAACAAAUAGAUCAUCAUUUCAUUUCAAUUUCAAUUUCAAUUUCAAAUUCAUACAUCCAUUUCAAAUUCAUACAUCAACAAAUAAUACUAUUUUGUUUUUGCAUUAAUCCAUAUAAUAUAAGGCAUAACGGAUGCAAAGUUAACCAAAAAAUGAUGAAUAGCUAGCCACUGUGAAAAUGAUGCAAAGUUAACUAUAAGAUAAUGAUUAGGGUUAUCCCCAUCAACUCAACACCUCUCCAUUUCUUUCCAAUAAUUCAUCCAAUUCAGAAACCCUCCUCACCAACCCUUCUAUUUCUAUACAAAAAGAUGAAUUGUUAACCAUUGCGAAAACAUGUGGUUAUCAGAUAACAAUACGGGUGUUGGACAAAGGGCAUGAACUUCAAAGCUUUCCCCAUCAUAGCCUCAUUUAGAUGUGUUUGAUAUAUAUGGUUCUGUCUUUUUAACACACAUUUAGAAACCUUAAUUUCAGAAAAUCGUAAUUCCUGUGAUUAUUAUUUAUAUCAAUUAGCAAAUACCAAAUAGAUCAGCAAAUUCAGCACAACAAACUGAGCAAAGAAAUCAUGAAGCAAAUUAACCUUCUCCAAAAGCCCUAAUUUAGAAACCCUAAUUUCAAAAAUUCAUAAUUCCAAAAGUCCUAAUUCAGAAACCCUUGAGUUCAUUGUAGGAAUUUUUUACCUUGUGCAGUGAGGUGAGGAGUGCGGACUGAGAUCGAGAGCUCGAUUCAGGAGCCGUAUUUGGGUGGUACUGGUAUGGAGUCCGGAGUCUGGAAUCUGGACAGUAUGUGAACCAGUGAAGUCGCGAUUUAGGUGAUGACUGAGGACUGACAGAGUGACUGAGUGAGGGGUGACGGUCUGGGUGAGGUCGAGGACGAUGAGGAGGGUGAUCCGGUGAGGUCACUGAGACUGAGGUGAGGGUGACUCGGUGACGGUGAGGCGCCGCGUGAGGUCGAUCGAGAGAGAGACAGAAAGAAUGAUUUGAGUUUCUGAUUUGAGAAAGAAUAGAAGGAUAGCCUACAAUGGACGGCUGAGAUUAAAUCUCAGCCGAUCCAAUGGUCAUCAAUUUUUAAAAUUUAAUUUAAUAUAUAUAUAUAUAUAUAAUUAUUAUAGUUUUUAGGGGUAUAAAAUUUUGUGGCAUCCAUCUACUAGUGUAAAUAUUUUAAAUUGAAGAUCGAAUUCAUUCAUUGUAUUCAUAUAGGGUCAAGGAGUGUAGUUGUAAAAAAUCAUCAAAAUCGGAGUUAAAAUAACCGUUAAAUCGUGAUUUUUUGUUUAUAACCGUCGAAACGUUUUGUCUUGUUCCUUGAUCUCUGAAUGUUUUUUUUUUGCAAUUUUUGGCGUACUUGAUCUCAAAGUAUAUACAAACAUGUUUGACGGUUGGAUCGUUGAAAUUAGUUUCGUAGAAUAUGUAUCCCAUCAAAACAAUAGAUUCACUAACACUUAAGAGUUUAUUCAUACUUUCAUCAAGUAUAACAUAAGAUUUUGUGGUAUCCACUAGUGUAAAUAUUUUAAAUUGAAGAUCGAAUUCAUUCAUUAUAUUCAUAUAGGGUCAAGGAGUGUAGUUGUAAAAAAUCAUCAAAAUCGGAGUUAAAAUAACCGUUAAAUCGUGAUUUUUUGUUUAUAACCGUCGAAACGUUUUGUCUUGUUCCUUGAUCUCUGAAUGUUUUUUUUUUGCAAUUUUUGGCGUACUUGAUCUCAAAGUAUAUACAAACAUGUUUGACGGUUGGAUUGUUGAAAUUAGUUUCGUAGAAUACGUAUCCCAUCAAAACAAUAGAUUUACUAACACUUAAGAGUUUAUUCAUACUUUCAUCAAGUAUAACAUAAGAUUUUGUGGUAUACACUAGUGUAAAUAUUUUAAAUUGAAGAUCGAAUUCAUUCAUUGUAUUCAUAUAGGGUCAAGGUGUGUAGUUGUAAAAAAUCAUCAAAAUCAGAGUUAAAAUAACCGUUAAAUCGUGAUUUUUUGUUUAUAAUCGUCGAAAAGUUUUGUCUUGUUACAUGAUCUCUGAAUGUUUGUUUUUUUGUAAUUUUUGGCGUAUGAGAUCUCGAAGUAUAUACAAACAUGUUUGACGGUUGGAUCGUUGAAAUUAGUUUCGUAGAAUAUGUAUCCCAUCAAAACAAUAGAUUCACUAACACUUAAGAGUUUAUUCAUACUUUCAUCAAAUAUAACAUAAGAUUUUGCGGUAUCCACUAGUGUAAAUAUUUUAAAUUGAAGAUCAAAUUCAUUCAUUGUAUUCAUAUAGGGUCAAGGAGUGUAGUUGUAAAAAAUCAUCAAAAUCGGAGUUAAAAUAACCGUUAAAUCGUGAUUUUUUGUUUAUAACCGUCAAAACGUUUUGUCUUGUUCCUUGAUCUCUGAAUGUUUUUUUUUUGCAAUUUUUGGCGUACUUGAUCUCAAAGUAUAUACAAACAUGUUUGACGGUUGGAUCGUUGAAAUUAGUUUCGUAUAAUUCGUAUCCCAAGAAGUUCAAUGGUGUGUGUGUUACGUAUAUAUAUAUAUGUUAAGUAGAUUUAAAUCUAUUUAUUUUGUAUGUAUAAUUAUUAUAGUUUUUAGGGGUAUAAAAUUUAAUAUAUAUAUUUAUAUAUAUAAUUAUUAUAGUUAAUAUUUUGGGGGUAUAAUUAUUAUAGUAUAUAAAAUUAUAAUUAUUAUAAUUAUUAUAGCUAAUCAAUAAUAUAUAUUUAUUUGGGGGUAUAAUUAUUAUAGUAUAUAUAUAUUAUUAUAUUAUUAUAGUUAAUCUAAUAUAUAUAUAUAUAUAUAUAAUUAUUAUAGUUCUUAGGGUAUAAAAUUGUUAAAUUAAUAUAUAUAAUUAUUAUAGUAUUUUUUAGGGUUAUAAAAUUAUUAAAUUAAUAUUCUGCUUAUCGUGUAUCGUGUUACUCACGUGUAUACCCGAACCAACCCGUUAUCUUAACAGGUGCUUAUCGGGUUACCCGAUAACGACCCGUUUCGUUAUCGUGUCGACUCGAACACCUGUUAAUUUCGUGUCGUGUCGUGUCGGAUUAUCGGGUCGUGUCAGGAAUUGCCAGGCCUAGUUUGCGAGCAUAUCAGAAUGUGUGUAAGCGUGUGCUCGUGCGCGUGUUUGUGAAUAUGACCACUCUUUAUCAAGGACCAUAAACCACGGCGGAAGAAAACAAACAAUUGUCUAAACAACCUACAUUUGUUUUGCUGUGAUAAGUAAAAAGGACAACAGCAUAUAUUCACAGAGAUGACUGUUAUCAAGCUUAAAGGGAACGACAUCCAUGACUCAGCACGGGAACACAUAAUUACAUAGACUUAAUAAAAUUAAAAUAAAAUCUGUUAACCCUUAAACUCACCUGAUUUUCCUUUGUGGAGUAUAUUUGAGUAUCCUCAGCUAUCAAUUGCGACAAAGUGUCAACACUAACCUUCUGCCAACAUGUGCAUAAGAAGUCAGAGUAAGACAUUAUUCAUUUGCUGUGAGAGAGAGAGAGAGAGAGAGAGAGAGAGAGAGAGAGUUCAGAUGAUACCAUGGAAAACCAUUACAUAGGCCACAUCUCUAGUUCACAUAUCUAAAUUGUGAAUUCAUUGAAUGAUGAAUGAUGUUGUAUAUGAAGCUACAAAUAUACGACAAGCAAUAAUGAUAGAUAAAUUCAUCUAUAUUGGUUUAUUAAAGUUGGUCAAACAUACCUUUUGUUUUGAUCGGGAUUUAGUAGUUUGGUAGUUUCAUUCUAAUUUCCAUAGUUUAUAAUAGUUAACCAACUAAAAGUGCUUUCUUUUGAUUACUAUCUAAUAUAUUUUGGCCAGUUGGCAAUCCUACUAGAUUUACUUAGGCGCACAUCAAAAAUGUGUAUUAUACAUGUACAUAAGAUAUAAUGCUAAAUAUCUUUUUAUAGUUGUCUCAUAUUACAUAAAAAGAGUUAAAGUACUCUCUCUCUCUCUUUGCUUGAAAACUAUGUAUCCAUUUCAUCAUCAUGCAUUUUUUUGGUGAAGCUACUAUGUUUUUGUAAUUUUUUUUUAUAUUGAGGAGGAAUAGAGGCUAAAGUACCUCCAAUUUGUUCAAGAGGCUUUAGCUCAUGCCACAGUUUGCUUCACAUACCUCUAUUGUUAGCUUCCAUACAAUAUGUUGUGUGUUUCGUUGCUGCAAGUUUGUAAUUUUACUUGCUACUUGAUUAUAAAAAUGUAAAACAAAAUCCGUCUGUGAUUACAAAUUUGUAUUCAAGUUUAGACGUUUUUCUAGUGUAAGACAUAUGUUGCAUAGGCAUGUAAAUGGUACAAAUUGUUUCUGGUUUUGGACAAUAAGCUUUUGAGUUUUACUAUCCUUGCAAGAGGACUGUGACUCAAGCGAACAAAUUUAGUGUUUGGGGAAUAGAGUUUGGUUCUCUUUAAUACAUAAUUUAACAAAGGCCUACAAAUUUUCCUUGAAGGAAUAUGCAAAUGUGUUCUCCGCAACUUGGCCUGCAGUUUAUGUGAAGGGGCAUUAAUGUGUGUUAUUUGCUUUUCGUAAAAUGUGUGUUAUCUGCAUUGGUGCAUUUGAGGGUGUGAUUACCUUCCUACCAAAUGCGAUGGCAAGUGCCUUCGCCCAUAAGCGGUAGGUCUCGGGUUCGAGACUUGGGAGUAGCCUCUCCAUAAAUGGGGGUAAGGCUAGCCGACAUUCACCUCUCCCAGACCCUGCGUAAAGCGGGAGCCUUGUGCACUGGGUACGACAUUUUUUUAUUGUGACUAAUACAUUCAAUGCCCGUAACGAAGUGCGAACAGAUUUUCUAGUAUGUUCUAAUGUAUAGAACAAAAUUCAUGUCCUCAGAUUAAUUUUUUGAAAAUAUAUAUUACAGUAAACAGUGAAGCCAUGUCUUGACUAGUAUAUCAAACACGCUCACGGUUUGCAAAGACAGACCGUUUGACCAUUUCAUAUGAUUAUUCAAAUUAGUCACUUUUACUUAACUUGUGCACGUACAAGAUUAUGGUUCGGUUCUUUGCACCAGAAGAAACCAAUGCAAACCAGAGCAGAAAAGCAUGAAAACACAUAAUUACUUUAUGUGCAGAACGUACCCAGAUGUAUUUCUACCAAAAGUAAAAUUCAUAAAUAACUUAGUUGACAUACAAGAUCUACCCCAAUCAAACAAACAGUUGUUCAUGCCAAGCAUUGAAACCUUUUUGUAUGAAUGAUUUGAUUCCAAAUUUCAACCAAAAGUUAUAACUGCACCACCGCGCACGCCACACUGAAAAGGUAUAUACGGCCGGGCAGUGUAGAAAUCUCAUCUCAAUGUGAUAAAACCUUAACAGUUAAUAAGUUCCAAACCAUUUGACAUCAAUAUCUCAUAUUAGAGAAACGCCCUUCUUCCAAAUGAUGGCCAGAUUUGUCAUCUUAUGAUGUCAAUUUUUCUUCUCUUUGAUUUUUUCACAUAAUUUUCUAAUUGUCCCAUAAAAAAUUUGUCUUUAGAUUGUUAGAGUAAUAUUUGAAAAUACGAAAAUAAUACAAGAAUUUCAAUGAUAAUAAUCAUAAUGAAAAUUGUUGAUGCACAAAAUCAGUAGGGACUUUGGUACAACAGAAAAUGUUAAGUUUGUGACAUUCGCUAGAUUGAUCCGGUCGCUAGUGUGGAUAAGUAUGUAAAUGGAUAGAGACAGGGAAGCAAACACAAGAUGUAAGUGGUUCACCUAGAUUGGCUACGUCCACGGAGUAGAAGAGUUCUCAUUAAUUGUGAAGGGUUUACACAAGUACAUAGGUUCAAGCUCUCAUUUAGUGAGUACAAGUGAAUGAUUUAGUACAAAUGACAUUCGGAAAUAUUGUGGGAGAAUGAUCUCCUUUUAUAGAAGAGAGUUUUUAGUUUUGUUUUGACAUUGACACGUGUUGUGUUGUGAUUGGCUUUUGAUGUUGACACAUGUCGCGCUAUGAUUGGCUUCUGAUGUCGACACGUGUCGCGCUGUGAUUGGCCUCUUAGUUGAAAGGAAACUCUUAUGGGUCCUUGAUGGUAUAACGUUGACCAGUGCUCGGUAGUUUCGAGAUUGGUCAAGUAUGGUACAAACAAAAAUAACAACAUAAAUUGUAUACAAGAUUAAUAUAAACAACAGAGAAAGGAAGAAAUGCUGACAAACUUGGAGAUUGAGACUUGCAUGAAUGCAAUGUCCUAAAGACAGAAUUUCGCCCAUACUCGUAGUUCGGUAGGCGUUUGUCUCCCAGAAUUUAACAAUAUAUAAUCCAAAGUUGAAGCACUUUAAAUCUUUGAACCCUGGUGGAAAUAGAGAGGGGAAACCCCGUUUCUCAAGAGUAAGAAUCUAUUUUGUUUUUGUAUGCAUUAGACAGGUGGGAUGCUUGAGUUUAUAGAAUUUGAGCCAUCCAUUUUGAAACAUUUGAUUGUUGAUUAAAGUUCCAAUUAACCGAUGCAACUCAUGAAUUUGAAUUCAAUUAUAACACUUGACUCUUUAUUUUCAUUAAAAAAUUAAAUAAAUAUUAUAAAUUAAUUUCCAACGAACAAUAAGUUUGUUAGUAUUUCUUACUUUCUCUGUUGUUUAUAUUAAUCUUGUAUACAAUUUAAAUUUAUGUUGUAAUUUUCAUUAUGAUUAUUAUCAUUAAAAUUCUUGUAUUAUUUUCAUAUUUUUUUAAUAUUGCUCCAACACUGCAUAGUAUAAUCUCUGUAAAAUAACCUUAUAAAUGAAGUUAAAUAUUUUGUCACAAGAAAAGGAAAAUUCAAUGAUCUAAACCAGAAUUAUUAAAGGUUAACAAAUUAUUAGAAUCUUUUAUUUUUCGUGAAAUGCAAGCUAUCAAAUUAUACAUGACGAGAUAAAGAAAUAAACAUGGCCUAGUCAUCAAGGAUUCUUAGUGUAAUACCCUGAAAAUUUAAAAUACAUGGUUAUGUGGAGUAAAUCGAGAAUAAAUGAUUUAUGGUUAUGAAAAAUUUAAUUAAGAACUUUUAAAGUUUGUUUUCAGAAAUUAUUAUAAUUUACAACGUAAAAUUUAUUGAUAAGUGAAAAGAUCAAAAUGCCCGUAAGGAGAUGUGUUGACUUUUGUUAACCUCGUCGUCGUGACACGUUUGACAUAUAAUUUAGUAUAUUUGAAUAAUGUUCGUUGCCACAAAUUGGGUGCUAAUCGGAAUUUCGACGAAGAAGUUGCGGAUUUUUAAUCUUUUAGGUGAUGGGCAAUAUAGUAAAUUGGGAAAAAAAAAACAGGAGAUUGUUCUAGAAGGGAGGAGACCAUUUUCUUCUUCCGUGGCCGAGGGGGGGGGUUGGAUGAUCGAAGGGAAAAAAAAAGGGAGGGGGUUGUUCUUGUUUCCGUUUUGGGCUCCCCUAAACACAAAUCUUAUACCUCUUUCCUUUAAUCCUCGAUUUUGACCAACCUUACAUCUUAACUCAAGUCCUCGUCGAGCCCAUCACGUUUGUCACCUCGAUUUUGCCAGAAAUCACCAAACAAGGCAGAAGUUCGUAGCUUUGUUUACAGGGAGACUUAUCAGUGUUCCUACAUGGCAGCCCGAGCCGGUUCUUCUUUUGCUUGGGAAGACCCCGAAAUAGAAAGAUCUGAUGCCGCAUCAGAUACACCCCUUGCCGUCUUAAGUCAUGUCUGACUUUGUCAGUGGACAAGGCCAGAAAGGAAGAAAGCAUGCUCGAACAGGUGCAAGUCCUUCUCCCCAUCCAUUGGCUUUUCAAUCGAUUUAAGUAAUUCUAAAUUUAAGAGAGCCUGGAGGUAUGCAUGCCAAUCUUCCUCGUAGAUUAAUAUGAGUUAUAAAGUAAGCUAACUAUUGUAUAUGUGCUUGAAUUCUGACCAUGAGGUUGAAAGCUUGGACGAAUUAACGAGUGGUUAGACAAUUGUAAAAUGGUUGAGAUAAAUAAUUAAUUGGAUAAGGAACCCAAGUUGAAAUUCAAAGAGGAUCCAAAGUUGAAAUUCAUUGCAAACUUGAAUUGAAAGAGAUUAAAUUCAAAGUUCUGUGAAUUAUAGGCCAAUAUCCACCCUAUUUAUAGCAAAAAAAAAAAAAUUCAAAUCCAACGGCAAGUUGAUGUCACUUAACCAUUGGAUUUGAAUUUAAGUUGUAGUUUUUAAAUAAUAAAUUAUGUUUGGCCCUCAGUUAGAGACGGUUUUUUGUGACAAGACUAAAACGAACCCUAUGACCCUUUGGCCCUCGGUUGGAGAUGAAGGUAAAUACAGUCAUGUAUUGUUCAUUAAAAUAUUAAUUUCUUUGAGAACUUUAGCCUUCUGACCAACCUUCGAUAGGAGAUGGUCUUAAAUUCUUAACGUAAAGCCGAUUGUUGUGCUCUAAUAAAAAAAAAAAAGGCUUCGGUUAUGCUUUAAGCACCUUCGCCUUUGCCUUUUGCCUCUUUUUUUUUUUUUUUUUAAAUCACACCUUUGCCUUUUGUUUGCCUUGCCUUCUACUUAAAGCACAUCUGGCCUUUUAUUUUAUUUUUAAUUGCUCGUCAAUACGAACCCAGAAGCAUAAAUUAGAUCCAAAUCAAAUUUGUAACGAAAAAAAAGUUGGAUGAUAACUGAUAAAUUUUUACACGGGCUUGUGUGAAACUCGCACAUGUUGAAAAAGAAAUGCCUGACUUUGGUUUUGUCUUUGGUGAGUUUUAUUUUCUUUAAAUAAGGGUUUGACUCCGGUCAAUAGUAUCGGGUGGAGGGGCCGUGUGUGUAAAUAUGUGUUUUCUUGGGUCAAGUGUGUAAAUAUAUUAGUUUGUUUGAAAUGAAAGGGAUGUCUGGUCGAAUGGGACACGUGGCAUGUGUGUGAUUCGGAUGUGACUGGGGAGAAAUUUUUUAUUAGGAUCGGAAUAUGAAUGGUACAUCACAUGUUUUUAUAUAAGUGGUUAAAAUUUUUUUUGUUAAGUUAUUAAGUUUUUAGCACAUAUAUUACAUCAUUUAUAUAGUGACACGUGGUGUAUCAUCCCGUGUUCCGAUCACACUCACAAAUCUCUUGUAACUAGAGAGAAAUUUUUCAUUUUAACCAGAACACGAGUGGUACACCAUGUGUUUUUAUAUAAGUAGUGAGAAAUUUUAGUUUUUAAAUUAUUAAAUUUUUAACAUAAGUAUUUCACUAUUUAUAUAAUGACACCUAGUAUACCAUCUCGUGUACCGAUCAUAUUGAAAAAUCUCCAGCGAUCGGAUUUGGAUCCCAAUGUAUGACUCAGGUCAGGGCUGCUAUCUUACGGACUUUUUGGGCUUCGGCGGUUCGGCCCACCAAUGACCAACCCGAAUACGAAUCCGAACCAGAACCGUCGUGGGUCAAACCAAGUAAAACGCUUUUUCCGUUGGAAAAUCAUGAAACCUGCAUGUGUGACAUUGCAAUUUUGCCUCCAAGCCGCUCUAGUUCUGCUCCAGAGCAACACACAGUAGAGAGAGAAAGAAGCCAAGAGAGAGAGAGGGGGAGAGGGAUGGCCUCGCCGUCAGGACCCGAAACUCCGUCGCCGAACAUCUACAUACCGCCGGAGUGGUCCGAGGCAGCAGACUGUAUAGCAUACGAUUCAGUCACUUGGCCGCCACCCAUUGCCUUAGUAUGUGGCGCUAAAAACUGCGGAAAAUCCACCUUUUCCCGCCACCUCCUCAACAUUUUUCUCCGGAGGUCAGUCAGCUUCAAGCUCCCUUUCCCCACUUUGUAACCGUUGAUCAAAUUCACGGCUCUGAUGAUUAGUUUUUUGAGUAAAAGUUGAUUUCUUUGUGUUUGUUUUCAUGUUAGCUGAAUUGGGUCACCUUAUUUACCUGGAUUCUCUCUGUUUUGGGAGUGAAUGUGUAUAAAUUUUUCAUCUUUUAACUCGGUUUGUUUUGAAUUUAAAUUUUUACUACUUUUUUGGGUAUGUAGGUUUGUUUUUUACCAUGUUUUUCUGUAAUUUUGUUUCCAGGUAUAAAAAAGUUGGUUACUUGGAUACAGAUGUCGGUCAACCGGAGUUCAGUCCUCCUGGUUUUGUAUCUCUCACUGUAAUAGAUGAAGCCACUCCAGGCAAUUGUUUAUUUUCUGCACUUACUGUGAAUAAUUUGCUUUAGAAUUUGAAAGGAUUGUUAAUCAUGUAUUCAUGUUAGAAUACCGGUUUUGUUUGGUUUGAUUGCUAAUUGAGUUUUCUUUUCUUUUUUGGUUACAAAUAGAUUUGACAAUCCCGCAUCUGAAGACACCGGAGAGGUAUGAACAGUCCUCUGCCUCGUUAUGGUUUUGAACUUGUUAGCAGUAGUAGUUAUAGUGCUUACCGGAAUACACUCAUUAUUAUGUAGUAGAUGACAAAUAUGUAGGGCAUGAAUAUUGUAAUUUGACAUUCCUUCGGAGCAAGGUUACGUAUAUUUUUUUGCUAGUUUCAAGCUGAGAAAAUGGUUUAUCAUAUUUUUUACCAUAAAGAUUUCAAUUUAGCUCAUCAAUGUUGUAGUAGACGUUGAUUCCUUAUAUAGCAUUUGGAAUGGAGUGUUGUUCUCAAUUGAGAAAUUUUGGAACAAUGCAAUUGGUAUGAAAAUUCGGGACUUAGUAAGGGUUCAGUGAAGACAUUAGUUGCUCUAUAAUCAAAGCUGUAUGCAUCGGUUUUGGAUCACACGGUAUAAACAAGACUUGGAGUUAAAAUUAUAAUUACAAAGCUGGAAAUUUUCGGUUCACAGAAUUUGAAAUGGGACUAGUUAACCUGAGUUCAGUCCUCCUCUCCCUCUCUCUCCUGCCAUGCAUGGAUUUUUUUAUACUAGGUCUGAUGUAAUGAAUAAAGGGAAUCUUGGAAUCUGAUGACUUAUAAUUUGUCUCUUUUUCUCAGAUGUCUUUUCUUUGGUGAUGUUUCUUCGAAGACGAAUCCUACAACAUACUUGAAUUCUAUAUAUUUUCUUUAUAUGAUUACUAUAAGAAGGAAUACUGCUUAUCUGACCAGAGUGAUAGACCUACCAAGACUGGAUUGCCUCUUGUUGUGAAUACACCUGGCUGGGUGAAAGGUAUGCUCUUUUACUUGGUCAAUUGCUCCUCUCUUUUAAUUGUGAUUGAACAAAAUCUCCCUAUCUGUAGUUUUGUUUGCUUGUUUGUUUGUUCUUCACUUGGUCAAUUGCCCCCCUCUGGCUUUUUUUCUGUAGAUAUUUUAUGAACUAAAUUUUCGCAGGUUUCAUCCUAGCCAUGUACCGUUUGAGGCAAAGGCCAAGUGGCUAUUUUAUGAAUCUUCUUUUGAUGGUUAUCGCUGUUUGGAUAUGAAUAUUAUAUAUGAUUUCUUCAUUCCUCUUGUGUACUAGGUGUUGGUUAUGAUUUAUUGGUGGAUAUGUUGAAAUAUAUUGCCCCUACCCAUGUUGUUAAAAUAAACAUAUCAGCCAAGAGUAAGAAUCUACCAAGUGGGGCAUUCUGGUUAGAUGAGGAUCAUGAUGCUAUGCUAAAUCUGAUAGAGAUCAAUUCAGCUCGUCAGGACUCUUUCAAUAGAUCGUAAGUCUUAGCGUUUUCAAGAAUAUCUGGAGACUUUUAUUUUGGAUGCAGGUUAUUUGUACAGUUUUUUUAAUUGCUUUUCCUCCCUUCCAGUACAUUUAAUUUCGUUAUUAUUAAUUUUUAAUUCGAGAAUCAUUUAUAUGAUGUAUAAUUCUUCUUUUCUUGAUUAAAAUACUAAGUUGCAAUGGUCACAUUAGUUUCAGACCAAGUGCCAAAUCUCUUUAGUAUGCUCCAUAAAAUAUAUGUAGGAGGUGAUCACUUUUAGUUAAGCUUAGAAGAAUUCAUCUUUUAUACAAGAUUAUUGAAUCAAGUGAUCAAGUGUCGGGAAUUUACAUAAAUUAUUUUUGCUUCAUAAGCAGCAUAUGCUGGUGGAAGAAGACAAGGAGUUAUAUGGAUGUACUGGAUUUUCCCGUGACAUAUUAUCUUUGUUGUGUUGCAGGGUUCUAGUACAAAAGGAUGCACGUCUGUUGCAUGAUGUACGAAUACUGGCUUAUUUCAGGCAGUGCUUUUCAAGUAGCCUAAACAUUACUACAAUCAAAGAACUUGCUAAUGCUCUGGCCUCUCAACCUCCUUAUGAAGUUCCAAUAUCUAGCAUCAAGAUUAGACAUCUCCAUUGUCAGGUCGGUUCUUAGUUCUGACUGUUGAUCGACUCACUGCAAGUUUCGGAAAUUUUAAAAUCUGUGUGUCUUUUACAUGUACGAGUGAAUUUUGCAUUCUAUUCCUGUUUGCUGUGAGGGUCUGUAGAAAAUGUUACGGGAGAGCUUAGUGGUGAUUACUUUUAUACCUCAUAGCUUUUGAUUUUGUGUCAACAACCAAGGGACUUUUAUUACUAUUAAUUGCUAUUAUAAUUUCAAUUAAGGCUUGUAACAGUUUAGUUCUUUUAUACCAGGUCCCAGGUGCUGAGAGCUUCUACAGUUUGAACGCAACCAUUGUUGGCUUGGCAGUUAGCUCUGGAGGAUCAAAAGAUUUACCUUGGUGUGUUGGUCUUGGUAGGUUACUCUGUUUUUCAACAUUUUGUCUAUUAUAUUUUAUCUAUUUUGUAUAGCUUUGCUCGUAAUUUUAUGUUUUCUGGCUCCAAUACGUGUGGAAGUGAGUUUUCAGAAAAAUUAAGAAGACUUAGUUCUAGAACUUGGUUCAGGGUGCCAGGAAACUAGGUUCUUUAGUUUUUUAUGUUUAUGUUAUUAGGGAAAUCCAGAUUUUCAUUGUUGGUGCGAUGCAGAAACAUAUAGAUAGGUUGAAGCAAUCAAUUUGAACUAAGGUUCUUAUUCAUUUCAAUUGAUGCCUUUUUAAAAAAUAAUAGGAAUUGUGAGAGGCAUUGACACAGUCAAAGGCUUGCUAUAUGUGAUAACACCUGUUCCAAGAGGCACUCUGGAGAAGGUCAAUCUUUUCCUGCAAGGUUAUAUCCAAAUUCCUACUGUGUUGUUGCAGGUAACUGAACCCCUCCCAUGUAAUACAUGUUUCAGACCAAUUGUUUGCUUCUUCAUAGUCUCUCACAUGCAUUCAAGUUUGGAUUCUUUGCCCUUUUCCAAAUACAAUAUGAUCUUAGAGAAGGAAUAACAGUUCGGGAAGAAACGUUCUUGUUGCAUGGAUAGUCAAUCAGUCAGUUAACCACUAUUACAGGGGUUGCUAGGUGUAGUGCAUGUGCAUGUGUGUGGUUUCGUUUUCAGAAACUGGAGAUCUUCGAUUGUGAUUGAAAUUUUCUCUAGUACUCUAGUAGCACCAUGUUAGGGAAGUUUAUACAACAGCUAGGAGAAUGUUAUGGGCAUGUCUACAGUAGUAUACACAUAAUCACUCACAUACACUGAACAAAAUAUCAGAAUCUUGUCGUUCGCAGACUACUACUUUAUUGGAAAUCUAUUGGAAGAACUUGAUUCGCCACAUUAAGGCUCGUUUGGAAGUGCUUUAAUUCCCUUCUAACUUCCUUCAGUAAAUGAAAAGAAGAACCUGCAUAUCGGAUCACCUAACAUAUAUUUCUAUCUCAUCCAAUAUUACCAAGUGUUAUUUCUUACUGAAUCUAUUGAAUUUCAGGUGCAGGGCUGCAUAUCGCCUUACAUGUCUGCAAAUGUUCUCUCAACAAGCUAAGCUCGUUCACAGUUGCUUGGGUUUCAAACAACAUCCUUUACAGUCAUUAAGCUAAGUUUUAUCCCACCAUGCGAGAGACUGACAACCAAUAGGUCAGCUUGCAUAUGGAAUUCCAAAUAGACGAUAUUUUUUUAUCGCAUGGAUUUGAUAGUAAAGGAAAUGUGAAAUGGUUAUCUAUGAACUACUGGAUGUGGUGAUUACACAAUUAGCAAAAUUACAUUUUCGUUGAAACUCGUACACAUAUAUCAAAAGUAAUUGUUGUUGCUGUGAGUUGCAGAACUGCAUUUUCAAUAUAUGUUUCAUGGAGUAGUUUGCAUUGUCGAAUCACGCAACAAGUAUUCUGAGAUUGACAGAUACUCCGGUGAUUCGAUUUUUCUGUAGCAAUCGUUAGCAAAUUACUGGGUGAUACAGAAAGACAAUGUAAAUGCCAGGAAUGGGUCAGUUAAAGUGCCAUCAUCAUCUACAUUCUACAUUUCUACAGAAGUAAAUGCAUGGCUGCCUGCCUUGCAUAAUUCCAUUGGCAUGUGCAAGCUUUCCAGAAGAUAAUUCAAUGGGAUCGUGGAGUUGUCUAGAAGCAAGGUUAGAGGCUUUGUUUGGAGUAGAAGCUACAUAAUGUGAUUGCAUGUUUAGCUUUUUCAAUUUCGUCUUUUUUUUUCAUUUCUCGGAGCUAAAGAAAGAUUUGGCGCAAAACUUAACUGGCCACAGUGGUGUUCUGGGAUUCGUAUAGCCAACCACACUUAGUGGGGUAAGGCUUUGGGUGUUGUUUUUGUUGUUGUUCCAUAUUAAUCUUCUUAAUGUCGAAGCUAAGUUGCACCGAUGGUCCCCGUACUUCAUCUAGAUUUCACUUUUGUCACCAUGUUUUUUUUUUCUUACCAUUUCCAUCCUCGUGGCUUUAUUUAGUCCAAUCCUUCCAAGUCAUGCAAAACUCCUCUGAAUCUAGCGUUGUCAAAGAAGACAUGCACUAAAAUGGAUGUUGACGGAUUGGACUAAAAGUGAAACAAACCAAGACUACAAGACAAAAAUGCAAGAAAAAAAAUUACGUGGAGGACAGUGAACCGAGGAAACUAUUAAUGCAAUUGGCCUAAUUUCGAUAAAUGACACAAAACUUUGGUUAUUCCAUGUACGCGGAACACUAUUACGUAGUAUUAUUAUUACAUUUAAAUUAUAACAUGUGAUGGAUUGGACUAAAACCAAAACAAACCAAGACUACAAAUGAUAAAAAAAACUACGUGGAGGAAAGUGAAUCCGGAGAGACUAUUAGUGCAAUUUGGCCUACUUUCGAAAAAUGGCACAAAACUUUGAGUGGUUUUUUCAUGCGCGCAGAGGAAAGUGAAUCCAGAGAGACUAUAAGUGUAAUUUGGCCUACUUUCGAAAAAUGGUACAAAAUUUGUGCAAUUUGGCCUAAUUUUUUUUCAUGUACACGGACCACCGUCAUGUGGUAUUAUUAUUACACUUAAAAUAUAACACGUGAAAUGAUAACACCACGUAACAAUGUUUCUGGUGCAAAUUUGCCUCCAACUCCAAGGCUUAUGAUAGAUAAACUAACCUACGUCCUUAUCACCCCCAAGAUUUCUUCUGGAACACAAAGCUAUAAGUAGAACAAAUCAGCGGAUCAGACUCCUCUCACAAAACGCUGACGUUUAACCCUAAUCCAGUUGGUUGGCAAGUGCAUGAUAGACCGUUAUUUCAGGUACAUGCCAAGCCUAACAACCGCCAUUUUUCUCCAAACCAAAUUUUCUUGCAUGUUUCCAUGUAUAGCCAGCAAAAUUCCACCACCCAAAAUUUAAAACCUUGCUUCGGAAAACCUUGCCCUCUCCUUCUUUUAGACAGUUCACACACCAACACACAGCGAAAGGUCGUGAUCUCGGAACGGUUUCGUGCUCCGCCAAGGUCAUGAUCUUAAGCACUUUUGAGAAGGAAGCACUUUUGACUCCAUUGUCGUGCUCUCUCUCUUGUUUCCGAACGAAUUCAGAUAGAGAGUAGGCCGGCAUUUGUUUGUUUUAUGGUUGUUUUCGUGUUGGAACAGCGAAAAAACCAGUAUGACGAAGCGAUCUUUUACUCGUUAUGUUGAGCAAGAGCUGGGGAGGGUGCCGCAUUUUGUGAUCUACGCUUUGCUCGAAUGGACGCUGAUCAUUCUGCUCUUCGCUGAUGGGUUCCUUGCGUUUGUUGCCAACGAAUUUGCCAAGUUCUUCGAGCUGCAAAUCCCGUGCUGGCUCUGCACCAGAAUCGAUCACAUUCUGGUUCAUAGGGACCAGGGUUUCUAUUACAAUGACUCCAUUUGUGAGGGUCAUAGGAAAGAUGUUUCGCNNNNNNNNNNNNNNNNNNNNNNNNNNNNNNNNNNNNNNNNNNNNNNNNNNNNNNNNNNNNNNNNNNNNNNNNNNNNNNNNNNNNNNNNNNNNNNNNNNNNNNNNNNNNNNNNNNNNNNNNNNNNNNNNNNNNNNNNNNNNNNNNNNNNNNNNNNNNNNNNNNNNNNNNNNNNNNNNNNNNNNNNNNNNNNNNNNNNNNNNNNNNNNNNNNNNNNNNNNNNNNNNNNNNNNNNNNNNNNNNNNNNNNNNNNNNNNNNNNNNNNNNNNNNNNNNNNNNNNNNNNNNNNNNNNNNNNNNNNNNNNNNNNNNNNNNNNNNNNNNNNNNNNNNNNNNNNNNNNNNNNNNNNNNNNNNNNNNNNNNNNNNNNNNNNNNNNNNNNNNNNNNNNNNNNNNNNNNNNNNNNNNNNNNNNNNNNNNNNNNNNNNNNNNNNNNNNNNNNNNNNNNNNNNNNNNNNNNNNNNNNNNNNNNNNNNNNNNNNNNNNNNNNNNNNNNNNNNNNNNGACCAAUAUUUCUGUGACAUCUGCUCAACAAACAUGGACGGAAACCGUGCUUUGUAUUGUUGUCAUGAUCAUGAAUGUCGUGAUUAUGCUGCCCACUGUAAAUGCUUAAGAAAAGAGGGGAUAAUCAUGAACGUCCUUGUCGAUGAUAAUGAUGAUGAUGCACCAUCCACAUCCAGAUGUCCCCCUGCUAAUGAGACCACCGCUGAUGAUAAACCCUUGCAGAUCGAGCACUUCAGUCAUCCACACAUGUUAACCCUCAUCGAUAGCCAAGAGGUGGCUAGACAAGACGACCAAGAUGAAGGAAUUACUUGUAACGGUUGCACGCUACCCAUCAUGAGGGGUGAGUCUUAUAGGUCAUGCACAGAACAAGCAAUAGAAAAGCCAUGUAAUUUCUCUCUCUCCACAUAAAUUGUGCUAAAUUACCCCGAAAGAGGCUUCUCCCACUUCACGAACACGAGCUCACACUCCUUCCAACAGCAUCUUCUGUCGGUGACGUUUUUGAGUGUGACAUGUGCAAGUCCUUGAGCCAAGGUUUCUCAUUCCAUUGUGAAGAUAGCGACUUCAAACUAGACCUCUAUUGCAAUAUUCUUUAUGAGCGUAAGCCUCUCCGUUGUGAUGCUCAUGUUCACACACACUCCAGUUCAGCACAGAGCUCGUGUCCUGCAGCAGUUAUGGUACUCGUGAAAGGAUUUCUGCUUCAGAUGUGGCCGUAAGAGAUGCGACUUCCAGCUGUGUAUUCUGUGUGUUAAAUUACCUCUUUACGGUUAGGUACAAUUACGACGAUCAUCCUCUCAAACUCACUUAUGCUAGUGUUAAAAAAUGAGCUCGAUGAGUACUAUUGUGACAUAUGCGAAGGAAAACGAGAUCCAAAACAUUGGUUCUACUCCUGCCUGGAUUGUGACUUUGAAUGUCAUACUCAUUGCAUUAGAGGGAGGUAUCCGCAAGUCAAGUUAGGGGGCUCUUACAAGCAUCAUGAUCACCAGCACGACGUCGCCCUUGUUUAUAAGAGAAAAGGCAAGAUUCCUAAUGAUAAGAGAGAGCGCUUACUUCCUUGUUCCAAGUGUUCUAUGAUUUGCAAAGGAUUGGUUUGUGAAUGUUUGGUGUGUGGUAUUAAUAUGCACCUAAGGCAUAUAAGAAAGCAAAAGCAUAUAAAAUUUCUAUAUUUUGAAAUCUUGCUUUUCAUUGUUUGCGAUAGGCCUGGCAAUCGGGUCGUGUCAGUCGUGUUCGUGUCGUUUUCGUGUAACACCUGUUAGCUUAACGGGUCGUGUCGUGUCACACCCGUUAUCUUAACGGGUCCUUAACAGGUCGGGUCACUUUACCCGUUGGGUAAAGUGACCCGACCCGACCCGUUAUGACCCGUUAUGACCCGUUAAGAAAAAUAUUUUUUUUUUCUUAAACUUGCACAUACUACAUAUUGUCACAUAAAUAUUACUUUAAAACAUUAAAACGCAUUUGUUGUUUAAAUACUACAUCAACACUCGAAAAUAAGAGUAAUAAAAAAAAUCCACACAUUACUAAUCUAUUACAAAUAUUAAAUAUGCAAGGAUAUGCAAAAUGAAAGCGUUUUUGUUUUCAAGGUUGUGAAGUCUUUUUCAAAAGUUUAAACCUUGUCAAUGGAACUCAAAGCUUGCAUGCUAUUCAUUUUACAAAAUCCUCAAUUUACGUCGAUCAUCAUGAGGAAGUUGCAUUGGAACUUUGGCUUGAUCUAUUGCCUUCUUCAAGAGUUAUGUUUGAUAAUGUUUUCAGUAAGAUUUUCCAUGUCAGAACUCUCUUCCGCAUAAACUAAAUAUAGAAAAACCAAACAUUAAAAAUCAUUCAAAUUAUAAGAAAUUUACCAAAAUAAUUAUGAAAAGAAAUAAAACAAUAGUACUAUACCAUAUAAAAAUAUAUUACCUCCUUUUCCAAAUAGCCAAUCUCGUGUGCACAACAAAGCUUGAACUGUUUCUGGUAACAAUGAACUACGAUACUGAUCUAGUACUCUACCCCCAAUACUAAAUGCAGAUUCUGAUGCAACAGUUGAAAUGGGAAUUGUUAACACAUCUCGUGCUAACUGAGAAAGUAUCGGAUAAUGAAAACGCUCCAUUUGCCACCAAGAAAGAACAUCUAUGUCUACUUUUUCUAUCUAUUCUUUUAUCCUCCAAAUACUUCUGCAAUUCAGUUUUUUCAAUCGAACUUGAACCAUCGUAAUUAUUAUCAAAAUCCUACAUCAUAAAAAAUCAUGCAUCAUGUUAAUUUCAAAUAUAAUAUCAACACUUUUUAUACUACUACUACAAUCUACAAAUAUAUAAAGUAAAUAAAAAUAAACUUAGGUUACCUCAAAGAGAACAUCUACAGAUUCUGUUUGAUGAUUAGGCACUGAAUUCCUUGGAGUAUUUGAAUUAUCAAGAUGUGAAAGUUUUUCCAAGUACACACCAAAAAGAACAUUCAAUUUGUCAUUCACCUUUGUAAAUUCGACCGAAUUCACACCAUGAAGCUUUGUGUAAGCCCAAUCCACAAAAUUCAAUUUAUAACGAGGGUCUAAGAUGAUUGCAAUUGCCAAAAUCAAACUAUACUCUGACCAAUACUUCUCAAACUUCAUGUACAUGUAAGUCGCCAUCUUAUUCAUGAAACUUUCAGAGGCAUCCAUGGCUGCCUUAAUUUGAAGUUGGAUUACGAACACCUUAGGGAAGAACAAAUUUGAUGUAGGGUACUUUGUCCCAGAGAAUAAGCACGUAACCUCAUAAAAGUACUCCAAAAACUUGGAAAUCUUCAUUAUUUUAUCCCACUCUUCAGAAGAAGGACAAGUAUUAAAAUUGGAAUCACUCAACCCUAAAUGAAUCAAAGCAUAUCGAUAGAAAAUUGCAUUAUCUAGCAUAAUGUAGGUUGAGUUCCAUCUAGUAGGGACAUCUUGUCUCAAACCUCUCCUACUAUCCAAUAUCCCCACUUGUCUAACACAUUCAUAAAACUUUAGUUUUCUAGCCUCAGAGCCCUUUAUAUACUUGACGCAUUCACGAAUCUUUAUCACCGAAGAAUCAAUUUCUUUAAGUCCAUCUUGAACUAUCAAAUUCAAGACAUGAGCACAACAACGCACAUGAAAGAAGUCACCAUUCAUCACGAGAAGACUUCUGAGAUUCAAUUGAUUCUUCAAAAUGCUAACAAAAGAAAUAUUUGAAGAAACAUUAUCCAAAGUAAUAGAAAAUAACUUCUUCUCAAUUCCCCACUCAGUCACCAAUGCAUUAAUUUUCUCAGAUAAUGCAACACCAGUAUGAGGAGGAGGCAUGUGACAAAAACUUAAAAUUCUCUUAUGCAAUUUCCAAUCUUUGUCUACAAAGUGAGCAGUAAGAGCAAGAUACCCAUCAGUGCAUUGCGAGGUCCAUAAGUCUGAUGUCAAACAAAUUCUACCUUCAACCGAGUCUAGCAAAUUAUGAAGCCUUUGUUUUUCAUUUUUGAACAUCCUUAACACACAGGCUUUAAUUGUAUUUCUACACGGUAACUUAAUAUCAGGAGAUAUAUAUGCAAACAAAGCCCUAAUUCCCUCAUAUUCAGAAAAACUAAAAGGAAGAUUAUGCUUGAUGAUGGCCUCUACCAAUAAACCACGAAAUACCACCGGAUCAAAGUUUUGGGAACAGAAUUCAGACACCGACAAUCCAACAGUCUGUCCAGGGCAUGUUUUCAAAUGUCUAUUCAUAUUACCCGUCCCAUGAUGACUAUCAUCUAUUACCAGUUUCUUACAAUCUUUACAUUGAGCACGACUUUUACCAUCUUCAAAAAUAGUAGUCAAUUUGUUGAAAGUUUUCCAAACAGGAGACCUGAGUGUUCGCUUACCUAAUUUGAUCACUCUAGCCUUUUUCUUUGCCGGACUUGUAUUUGUAUCUUCCAUAUUUUCACUUCCAUGAUCAGGUUGUAUUCCCAUUGUCACUUCCACUGAUCCUCCAUCACUAAGGUUCGUAAAAUCUUGCUCUACAACAUCCAUUGCUUCAAGAAAGAAAAACAAAACUAUAAAAUCUUGCUCAUACCAAUUUCAUACCAUAUCUCUAUUUCAAAUUCACUUAUCCAUUUCAAUUUCAAAUAGAUCAGCACAUAGAUCAACAAAUAGAUCAUCAUUUCAUUUCAAUUUCAAUUUCAAAUUCAUACAUCCAUUUCAAAUUCAUACAUCAACAAAUAAUACUAUUUUUGUUUUUGCAUUAAUCCAUAUAAUAUAAGGCAUAACGGAUGCAAAGUUAACCAAAAAAUGAUGAAUAGCUAGCCACUGUGAAAAUGAUGCAAAGUUAACUAUAAGAUAAUGAUUAGGGUUAUCCCCAUCAACUCAACACCUCUCCAUUUCUUUCCAAUAAUUCAUCCAAUUCAGAAACCCUCCUCACCAACCCUUCUAUUUCUAUACAAAAAGAUGAAUUGUUAACCAUUGCGAAAACAUGUGGUUAUCAGAUAACAAUACGGGUGUUGGACAAAGGGCAUGAACUUCAAAGCUUUCCCCAUCAUAGCCUCAUUUAGAUGUGUUUGAUAUAUAUGGUUCUGUCUUUUUAACACACAUUUAGAAACCUUAAUUUCAGAAAAUCGUAAUUCCUGUGAUUAUUAUUUAUAUCAAUUAGCAAAUACCAAAUAGAUCAGCAAAUUCAGCACAACAAACUGAGAGCAAAGAAAUCAUGAAGCAAAUUAACCUUCUCCAAAAGCCCUAAUUUAGAAACCCUAAUUUCAAAAAUUCAUAAUUCCAAAAGUCCUAAUUCAGAAACCCUUGAGUUCAUUGUAGGAAUUUUUUACCUUGUGCAGUGAGGUGAGGAGUGCGGACUGAGAUCGAGAGCUCGAUUCAGGAGCCGUAUUUGGGUGGUACUGGUAUGGAGUCCGGAGUCUGGAAUCUGGACAGUAUGUGAACCAGUGAAGUCGCGAUUUAGGUGAUGACUGAGGACUGACAGAGUGACUGAGUGAGGGGUGACGGUCUGGGUGAGGUCGAGGACGAUGAGGAGGGUGAUCCGGUGAGGUCACUGAGACUGAGGUGAGGGUGACUCGGUGACGGUGAGGCGCCGCGUGAGGUCGAUCGAGAGAGAGACAGAAAGAAUGAUUUGAGUUUCUGAUUUGAGAAAGAAUAGAAGGAUAGCCUACAAUGGACGGCUGAGAUUAAAUCUCAGCCGAUCCAAUGGUCAUCAAUUUUUUAAAAUUUAAUUUAAUAUAUAUAUAUAUAUAUAAUUAUUAUAGUUUUUAGGGGUAUAAAAUUUUGUGGCAUCCAUCUACUAGUGUAAAUAUUUUAAAUUGAAGAUCGAAUUCAUUCAUUGUAUUCAUAUAGGGUCAAGGAGUGUAGUUGUAAAAAAUCAUCAAAAUCGGAGUUAAAAAUAACCGUUAAAUCGUGAUUUUUUGUUUAUAACCGUCGAAACGUUUUGUCUUGUUCCUUGAUCUCUGAAUGUUUUUUUUUUGCAAUUUUUGGCGUACUUGAUCUCAAAGUAUAUACAAACAUGUUUUGACGGUUGGAUCGUUGAAAUUAGUUUCGUAGAAUAUGUAUCCCAUCAAAACAAUAGAUUCACUAACACUUAAGAGUUUAUUCAUACUUUCAUCAAGUAUAACAUAAGAUUUUUGUGGUAUCCACUAGUGUAAAUAUUUUAAAUUGAAGAUCGAAUUCAUUCAUUAUAUUCAUAUAGGGUCAAGGAGUGUAGUUGUAAAAAAUCAUCAAAAUCGGAGUUAAAAUAACCGUUAAAUCGUGAUUUUUUUGUUUAUAACCGUCGAAACGUUUUGUCUUGUUCCUUGAUCUCUGAAUGUUUUUUUUUUGCAAUUUUUGGCGUACUUGAUCUCAAAGUAUAUACAAACAUGUUUGACGGUUGGAUUGUUGAAAUUAGUUUCGUAGAAUACGUAUCCCAUCAAAACAAUAGAUUUACUAACACUUAAGAGUUUAUUCAUACUUUCAUCAAGUAUAACAUAAGAUUUUGUGGUAUACACUAGUGUAAAUAUUUUAAAUUGAAGAUCGAAUUCAUUCAUUGUAUUCAUAUAGGGUCAAGGUGUGUAGUUGUAAAAAAUCAUCAAAAUCAGAGUUAAAAUAACCGUUAAAUCGUGAUUUUUUGUUUAUAAUCGUCGAAAAGUUUUGUCUUGUUACAUGAUCUCUGAAUGUUUGUUUUUUGUAAUUUUUGGCGUAUGAGAUCUCGAAGUAUAUACAAACAUGUUUGACGGUUGGAUCGUUGAAAUUAGUUUCGUAGAAUAUGUAUCCCAUCAAAACAAUAGAUUCACUAACACUUAAGAGUUUAUUCAUACUUUCAUCAAAUAUAACAUAAGAUUUUGCGGUAUCCACUAGUGUAAAUAUUUUAAAUUGAAGAUCAAAUUCAUUCAUUGUAUUCAUAUAGGGUCAAGGAGUGUAGUUGUAAAAAAAUCAUCAAAAUCGGAGUUAAAAUAACCGUUAAAUCGUGAUUUUUUUGUUUAUAACCGUCAAAACGUUUUGUCUUGUUCCUUGAUCUCUGAAUGUUUUUUUUUUUGCAAUUUUUGGCGUACUUGAUCUCAAAGUAUAUACAAACAUGUUUGACGGUUGGAUCGUUGAAAUUAGUUUCGUAUAAUUCGUAUCCCAAGAAGUUCAAUGGUGUGUGUGUUACGUAUAUAUAUAUAUGUUAAGUAGAUUUAAAUCUAUUUAUUUUGUAUGUAUAAUUAUUAUAGUUUUUAGGGGUAUAAAAUUUAAUAUAUAUAUAUAAUUAUUAUAGUUAAUAUUUUGGGGGUAUAAUUAUUAUAGUAUAUAUAAAAUUAUAAUUAUUAUAAUUAUUAUAGCUAAUCUAAUAUAUAUAUUUUGGGGGUAUAAUUAUUAUAGUAUAUAUAAUUAUUAUAAUUAUUAUAGUUAAUCUAAUAUAUAUAUAUAUAUAUAUAAUUAUUAUAGUUCUUAGGGUAUAAAAUUGUUAAAUUAAUAUAUAUAAUUAUUAUAGUAUUUUUUAGGGUUAUAAAAUUAUUAAAUUAAUAUUCUGCUUAUCGUGUAUCGUGUUACUCACGUGUAUACCCGAACCAACCCGUUAUCUUAACAGGUGCUUAUCGGGUUACCCGAUAACGACCCGUUUCGUUAUCGUGUCGACUCGAACACCUGUUAAUUUCGUGUCGUGUCGUGUCGGAUUAUCGGGUCGUGUCAGGAAUUGCCAGGCCUAGUUUGCGAGCAUAUCAGAAUGUGUGUAAGCGUGUGCUCGUGCGCGUGUUUGUGAAUAUGACCACUCUUUAUCAAGGACCAUAAACCACGGCGGAAGAAAACAAACAAUUGUCUAAACAACCUACAUUUGUUUUGCUGUGAUAAGUAAAAAGGACAACAGCAUAUAUUCACAGAGAUGACUGUUAUCAAGCUUAAAGGGAACGACAUCCAUGACUCAGCACGGGAACACAUAAUUACAUAGACUUAAUAAAAUUAAAAUAAAAUCUGUUAACCCUUAAACUCACCUGAUUUUCCUUUGUGGAGUAUUUGAGUAUCCUCAGCUAUCAAUUGCGACAAAGUGUCAACACUAACCUUCUGCCAACAUGUGCAUAAGAAGUCAGAGUAAGACAUUAUUCAUUUGCUGUGAGAGAGAGAGAGAGAGAGAGAGAGAGAGAGAGAGUUCAGAUGAUACCAUGGAAAACCAUUACAUAGGCCACAUCUCUAGUUCACAUAUCUAAAUUGUGAAUUCAUUGAAUGAUGAAUGAUGUUGUAUAUGAAGCUACAAAUAUACGACAAGCAAUAAUGAUAGAUAAAUUCAUCUAUAUUGGUUUAUUAAAGUUGGUCAAACAUACCUUUUGUUUUGAUCGGGAUUUAGUUUGGUAGUUUCAUUCUAAUUUCCAUAGUUUAUAAUAGUUAACCAACUAAAAGUGCUUUCUUUUGAUUACUAUCUAAUAUAUUUUGGCCAGUUGGCAAUCCUACUAGAUUUACUUAGGCGCACAUCAAAAAUGUGUAUUAUACAUGUACAUAAGAUAUAAUGCUAAAUAUCUUUUUAUAGUUGUCUCAUAUUACAUAAAAAGAGUUAAAGUACUCUCUCUCUCUUUGCUUGAAAACUAUGUAUCCAUUUCAUCAUGCAUUUUUUGGUGAAGCUACUAUGUUUUUGUAAUUUUUUUUUAUAUUGAGGAGGAAUAGAGGCUAAAGUACCUCCAAUUUGUUCAAGAGGCUUUAGCUCAUGCCACAGUUUGCUUCACAUACCUCUAUUGUUAGCUUCCAUACAAUAUGUUGUGUGUUUCGUUGCUGCAAGUUUGUAAUUUUACUUGCUACUUGAUUAUAAAAAUGUAAAACAAAAUCCGUCUGUGAUUACAAAUUUGUAUUCAAGUUUAGACGUUUUUCUAGUGUAAGACAUAUGUUGCAUAGGCAUGUAAAUGGUACAAAUUGUUUCUGGUUUUGGACAAUAAGCUUUUGAGUUUUACUAUCCUUGCAAGAGGACUGUGACUCAAGCGAACAAAUUUAGUGUUUGGGGAAUAGAGUUUGGUUCUCUUUAAUACAUAAUUUAACAAAGGCCUACAAAUUUUCCUUGAAGGAAUAUGCAAAUGUGUUCUCCGCAACUUGGCCUGCAGUUUAUGUGAAGGGGCAUUAAUGUGUGUUAUUUGCUUUCGUAAAAUGUGUGUUAUCUGCAUUGGUGCAUUUGAGGGUGUGAUUACCUUCCUACCAAAUGCGAUGGCAAGUGCCUUCGCCCAUAAGCGGUAGGUCUCGGGUUCGAGACUUGGGAGUAGCCUCUCCAUAAAUGGGGGUAAGGCUAGCCGACAUUCACCUCUCCCAGACCCUGCGUAAAGCGGGAGCCUUGUGCACUGGGUACGACAUUUUUUUAUUGUGACUAAUACAUUCAAUGCCCGUAACGAAGUGCGAACAGAUUUUCUAGUAUGUUCUAAUGUAUAGAACAAAAUUCAUGUCCUCAGAUUAAUUUUUUGAAAAUAUAUAUUACAGUAAACAGUGAAGCCAUGUCUUGACUAGUAUAUAUCAAACACGCUCACGGUUUGCAAAAGACAGACCGUUUGACCAUUUCAUAUGAUUAUUCAAAUUAGUCACUUUUACUUAACUUGUGCACGUACAAGAUUAUGGUUCGGUUCUUUGCACCAGAAGAAACCAAUGCAAACCAGAGCAGAAAAGCAUGAAAACACAUAAUUACUUUAUGUGCAGAACGUACCCAGAUGUAUUUCUACCAAAAGUAAAAUUCAUAAAUAACUUAGUUGACAUACAAGAUCUACCCCAAUCAAACAAACAGUUGUUCAUGCCAAGCAUUGAAACCUUUUUGUAUGAAUGAUUUGAUUCCAAAUUUCAACCAAAAGUUAUAACUGCACCACCGCGCGCACGCCACACUGAAAAGGUAUAUACGGCCGGGCAGUGUAGAAAAUCUCAUCUCAAUGUGAUAAAACCUUAACAGUUAAUAAGUUCCAAACCAUUUGACAUCAUCAAUAUCUCAUAUUAGAGAAACGCCCUUCUUCCAAAUGAUGGCCAGAUUUGUCAUCUUAUGAUGUCAAUUUUUCUUCUCUUUGAUUUUUUCACAUAAUUUUCUAAUUGUCCCAUAAAAAAUUUGUCUUUAGAUUGUUAGAGUAAUAUUUGAAAAUACGAAAAUAAUACAAGAAUUUCAAUGAUAAUAAUCAUAAUGAAAAUUGUUGAUGCACAAAAUCAGUAGGGACUUUGGUACAACAGAAAAUGUUAAGUUUGUGACAUUCGCUAGAUUGAUCCGGUCGCUAGUGUGGAUAAGUAUGUAAAUGGAUAGAGACAGGGAAGCAAACACAAGAUGUAAGUGGUUCACCUAGAUUGGCUACGUCCACGGAGUAGAAGAGUUCUCAUUAAUUGUGAAGGGUUUACACAAGUACAUAGGUUCAAGCUCUCAUUUAGUGAGUACAAGUGAAUGAUUUAGUACAAAUGACAUUCGGAAAUAUUGUGGGAGAAUGAUCUCCUUUUAUAGAAGAGAGUUUUUAGUUUUGUUUUGACAUUGACACGUGUUGUGUUGUGAUUGGCUUUUGAUGUUGACACAUGUCGCGCUAUGAUUGGCUUCUUGAUGUCGACACGUGUCGCGCUGUGAUUGGCCUCUUAGUUGAAAGGAAAACUCUUAUGGGUCCUUGAUGGUAUAAACGUUGACCAGUGCUCGGUAGUUUCGAGAUUGGUCAAGUAUGGUACAAACAAAAAUAACAACAUAAAUUGUAUACAAGAUUAAUAUAAACAACAGAGAAAGGAAGAAAUGCUGACAAACUUGGAGAUUGAGACUUGCAUGAAUGCAAUGUCCUAAAGACAGAAUUUCGCCCAUACUCGUAGUUCGGUAGGCGUUUGUCUCCCAGAAUUUAACAAUAUAUAAUCCAAAGUUGAAGCACUUUAAAAUCUUUGAACCCUGGUGGAAAUAGAGAGGGGAAACCCCCCGUUUCUCAAGAGUAAGAAUCUAUUUUGUUUUUGUAUGCAUUAGACAGGUGGGAUGCUUGAGUUUAUAGAAUUUGAGCCAUCCAUUUUGAAACAUUUGAUUGUUGAUUAAAGUUCCAAUUAACCGAUGCAACUCAUGAAUUUGAAUUCAAUUAUAACACUUGACUCUUUAUUUUCAUUAAAAAAUUAAAUAAAUAUUAUAAAUUAAUUUCCAACGAACAAUAAGUUUGUUAGUAUUUCUUACUUUCUCUGUUGUUUAUAUUAAUCUUGUAUACAAUUUAAAUUUAUGUUGUAAUUUUCAUUAUGAUUAUUAUCAUUAAAAUUCUUGUAUUAUUUUCAUAUUUUUUUAAUAUUGCUCCAACACUGCAUAGUAUAAUCUCUGUAAAAUAACCUUAUAAAUGAAGUUAAAUAUUUUGUCACAAGAAAAGGAAAAUUCAAUGAUCUAAACCAGAAUUAUUAAAGGUUAACAAAUUAUUAGAAUCUUUUAUUUUUCGUGAAAUGCAAGCUAUCAAAUUAUACAUGACGAGAUAAAGAAAUAAACAUGGCCUAGUCAUCAAGGAUUCUUAGUGUAAUACCCUGAAAAUUUAAAAUACAUGGUUAUGUGGAGUAAAUCGAGAAUAAAUGAUUUAUGGUUAUGAAAAAUUUAAUUAAGAACUUUUAAAGUUUGUUUUCAGAAAUUAUUAUAAUUUACAACGUAAAAUUUAUUGAUAAGUGAAAAGAUCAAAAUGCCCGUAAGGAGAUGUGUCCUUUCGUCGUCGCACGACAUAUAAUUUGUAUAUUGAAUAAUGUUCGUUGGGCUUAAUCGGAACGACGAAGAAGUGCGGAUUUUUUAUCUUUUAGGUGAUGGGCAAUAUAAGUAAAUUGGGAAAAAAAAACAGGAGAUUGUUCUAGAAGGGAGGAGACCAUUUUCUUCUUCCGUGGCCGGGGGGGGGUUGGAUGAUCGAAGGAAAAAAAAGGGAGGGGUUGUUCUUGUUUCCGUUUUGGCUCUCCCCUAAACACAAAUUUUAUAACCUUUCUGUUUCUCUUAAUUAAUCUCCGAUUUUUGACAACUUAACUUCUUCUCAAGUCCUCGUCGAGCCCUACGUUUGUAACCCACCAAUCCGAUUUUGCCAGAAAUCACCAAACAAGGCAGAAGUUGUAGCUUUGUUUACAGGGACUGACUAAUCAGUGUCUCCUACAACUGUGCCGCCGCCUUUUUUCUAAAAUCUUUCAAAUGGGUGCUUGGAAAAGAUAACCCAAAACUAUAGAAGAAUCUGCAUGCCACAUGAGUAUAACACUUAUUGCCGUCUAAGUUAAUGUCUCCAUUUGCAGUUGGCAAGGAAUCCAGAGAAGGUAAAAUUGCAAUGAGCAUCAAAAAAUUCAGGUGCAAAUCUAAAGUUCCUGUCUUAGGCUUUGUUUUAUGAAUCGAUUUAAGUAUUUUAAAUAAUAAGAUGCGUGACAAAGUAAUUGCAACCAAUCCUUGACCCUUUCCUCAAUAGAUUAAGUAUGAUUAUUAUAUUAUUAUUAGCUUAACCUUCUAAACCUUUUAUGUAACUCUCGUAAAGCUUUUGAUUGUUGCUCUAAUAAAAAAAAAAGAGUUGAAAGUCUGAACGAUUUAACCUUUGUCUUUUUUUUUUUUAAAUUAAAAAAAGUUUGAUUGCCUAAAUAAUUUGGAGAAGGAUACUAAAUGUUUUUAAAUUAAAUUAUUUAUUUUUAUUGCAAAAAAAAAAAAAGAACAAAUUCAAAGUUCCAUAACUAUAAAUCCAAAUUUAUGGCAAAAAACUAAGUUGUAAUUCAAAAUAAAUGAAUUUGAUAUUGGUUUUUAAGUUUCUUUUAAAUAAUGAAAUACAAACCCUAUCGACUGAUACGGGCGAAAUUUUUUGUGACGGUAACCAAGUCUUGUGGUGAUGUUUAAAACUUAUUUCAGACCAAACUUUCCUCUAGGCCAAUGAAAAAGAAAUAUUGCUUUUCAACAAAAAAAAACCCGUUUUUUAAGAAAAAAAUUCUUUGGGCAUUUGAGUUUUUUUUUUCAAAUUUUAAAAUCAAUUUCACAACAUUCUGGGUUUAAGCCUUUUCGAAAAGAAAGGUAUGACCAGAUUAAACAUUCAAACUUGCAUUUGAAAAAGAAAAUGAAUCUGACUGGUGAAACUUUCUCUCCCCAUCUUUUUCCUCUUUAAACGUCUCCUUUUUCUCCGAACAUGUUGCUUCCACCCCACAUAUUUGCAUUGCUUUGGUUUCCCAUCACCCACUUUUAACCUCUCCAAACUAUCUACUUCGUCCCACACAAGCACACUCCCCCACCACGAACAUUCCUUCUACUUUUCAAGGUCAUAGUUUAAUGAUGGCCCACGAGUUAAAACUUUUAGCCGUACAUAUGGCCACGGAAACCAACCGCGAGUCAAGCUUGGUUCGAUUUUCCCCCGCCCCUUUUCUGUGGAAAAACGAAACAACGGCAACGAAAAGCAUAAGACUUGGUAUUGAGGAAGUUAAGAAGAUUUGAAAAUUGUGCAUAAAACCGGCCAAAACCCAAUUCCGGCAAGUUUUUCGGAACUCCGGCGAGCCUUUCUGGCCAAACGGCAAACAACCGAGGCUCGAGACCACCACCAUUGGACUCGCCUCGAGUUUGAGAGCAAAGCCCAGUAUUCCAAUCGAAGGUCAAUGCACGCACGAUGGCGAACGGUGAAGAAUUCCGACGAAUUCUGCAGGAACUGGUGAGUUUUAUGCAACUGAGCUCGACUAGGCGGUUCAGUUGCCCGCUUGACGAGGCUUACGACUCCGGCGUCGAGGCAUAUUGGUAUCUCCGAAUCCUCCCUACGAACUUUUUCUCCUUUCUCUUUGUAAUUGAACUUUUAAAUAAUAUUUCUUCAUGUUGUAUUCUUGAUUCGUAUGAUUCUUAUUUUUUUAAUAUUUUAAAAACAUAUUUUAUUUAUUAUUAAUUUAUCGAUGCAAGUUUGCAUCCAUGUAGAUUUUAGUUGUUAUCAUAUUAGUUGGUAAUAUCUACUGAAUUAAGUAGUACUUCAUGCAUUAGAUAAAGAGAUGGAUCCGAGAAUUCACGAACAUUCAUUGACUUUCAAGGAAGAGAAGGAGAAUGAUGGUCCACCGCAGUUCUGUAAGGGUGCGUUUGGUACGUGGGAUGGGACGGAACAGAGUGGGACGGAACCGUUCCGUCCCACGUUUGGUGCCUUAAAAUUGUGUGGAACACGCGUCCCACGGAACGAAAAAGGGUCAGAUUUUGGUUCCCCCUCCCCCCCCUGGAACAGGUUUUUCCAUCCCGUGGGACACAAUUUUUUUUUUUUUGGACAACAAUACCCUUUUAUUUUUUUUCAUUAAUUACAUUGUCUACCUCCCUUCUCUCCCGUAACCUCCCUCUGUUCUACCACAAAUCCAGUAACCCAAUCCCUUCUUUCCCGUAACCUCCCUCUUCAUCCACCACAAACCCAGUAACCCAAUCCCAGCAAACCCAUCCGACGACGACGACGUCACCACCGUCACCAGCAAACCCCUCUUCUUCUCCGGCGUCGUCACCCGUCACCAGCAAACCCUCUUCUUCUCCGGCGCCGUCACCAUGGAGCCGUCACCAGCAACCCCUCUUCUUCUCCGGCGCCGUCACCAUAGCCAGGCCGACGACGACGACGACGAUGCACGAAGGAUGAUGACGACGCUGCAGGGAAGACGCUGCAGGCCGCGACGACGACGACGACGGACGGAUGACGACGCUGCAGGGAAGACGAUGACGACGCUGCAGGGAAGACGAUGACGAUGCUGCAGGGAGGACGAUGACGAAGCUGCAGAAAUUGAUUGAAAUGAAUUUUGGGAUUUUUCUGUGUUUGAUUUUGGGAUUUUUCUGUUUUUUUCUUCUUGUAAUUGUUUGCUGGUGACGAGAUCUGAAAUUGAUUGGAGGGUUUGCUGGUGACGAGAUCUGAAACUGGAUUGGUUGCCGAGAAAACGAAGGAAAACGAAAACUGGGGUCUGAUUGUUUGAGUUCAUACUCGCACUCAGCAAUUGUACAAACAAGGCUAAGUUAGUCAUUUAACACGAAAUCCAAACCGUUCCGUCCUACGCGUACCAAACAUAACACGAACCUCCGUUUCGUUCCGUCCCGUUCCGUCCCGUCCCGUUCCGUUCCGUCUGCGUACCAAACGCACCCUAAGGGAUGCCUGGAACCAUUGUUUGGGCCUCACUAUACUUGCGACACGUGCGAUAAGUGGUCCACUGGCUACAAGUUCAAUAUACAUAAAUCAUGUGCGGAGUUGCCCAUUGAGAUCCGCCACCCGAUCCACCCCAAUCACCCUCUUAUUCUCGAGGAAAACUACGGCUACACAUGUGGUGUCUGUAACUGUGACCAGUCACGUCGAAGUGCAUACAUUCUAUCUUACUGUUGUUCUGAAUGCGACUUCUCUAUACACGUCAAAUGUGCUUCCAAUUGGCAAAACGUCGGUCAUGAGCACAACUUCACCAUCCUCAUGCAGCCCAUUCAAUUCACUUGCGGUGUCUGUGGCCUAGUUGGUGAGUAUGACAAACAAAACUUCUACCUCUGCAACAUCUGCCAGCUCCUUGUCCAUGCCAAAUGCUCUUGGUUACCACUCCAAGUCAAAAUAGAACGGCACCAACAUCGCCUCAAGCUUACCUGGUGGUUCCAUGACAUGUACCCCAAAGACCAAGAUUUCUGUGACAUUUGCUCAGAAAAAAUGGACGGAAACCGUGCUAUUUAUUGUUGUCAUGAUCAUGAAUGUCGUGGUUAUACUGCCCACUGUAAAUGCAUAAGAAAAGAGGGGAAAUUCAAGAACAUCCUCGUCAAUGAUGAUGAUGAUGAUGAACCAUCCACAUCUAGACGUCCCCCAACCGAUGAGACCACCGCUGAUGAUAAACCCUUGCAGAUCGAGCACUUCAGUCAUCCACACAUGUUAACCCUCAUCGAUGGCCAAGAGGUGGCUAGACAAGACGGCCAAGAUGAAGGAAUUACUUGUAACGGUUGCACGCUACCCAUCAUGAGGGGUGAGUCUUAUAGGUCAUGCACAGAACAAGCAAUAGAAAAGCCAUGUAAUUUCUCUCUCCACAUAAAUUGUGCUAAAUUACCCCGAAAGAGGCUUCUCCCACUUCACGAACACGAGCUCACACUCCUUCCAACAGCAUCUUCUGUCGGUGGCGUUUUUGAGUGUGACAUGUGCGCGUCCUUGAGCCAAGGUUUCUCAUACCAUUGUCAAAGGUGCGACUACUACCUCGACAUUUAUUGCAGUAUUGUUUAUGAGCGUAGGACUCUCCGUUGUGAUGCUCAUGUUCACACCCUCCGGUUCAGCACAAAGCUCGUGUCCUGCAGAAGUUGUGGUACUCGUGAUAAGAAUUUCUGCUUCAGAUGUGGCAGUGAGAGAUGCGACUUCCAUCUGUGUAUUUCGUGUGUUAAAUUACCUCUUACAGUCAGGUACAAUUACGACGAUCAUCCUCUCAAACUCACUUAUGCUAGUGUUAAAAAUGACCUCGAUGAGUACUAUUGUGACAUAUGCGAAGGAAUACGAGAUCCAGAACAUUGGUUCUACUCCUGCCCGGAUUGUGACUUUGAAUGUCAUCCUGAUUGCAUUAGAGGGACGUAUCCGCAAGUCAAGUUAGGGGGCUCUUACAAGCAUCGUGAUCACCAGCACAACGUCGCCCUUGUUUAUAAGAGAAAAAGCGAGAUUCCUAAUGAUAAGAGAGAGCGCUUACUUCCUUGUUCCAACUCCAAGUGUCGUAUGAUGUGCCAAGGAUUGGUUUGUGAAUGUUUGGAGUGUGGUAUUAAUAUGCACCUAGGGCACCACUUGUGGGGCUCUCCGAUUCUCGACUAGAAUGUUUAGCCAUUAAGAGUUGCAACUCUACAAAGAGUGUUUCAUUCUCAAAUACUUUUGUUUUGUAUUAUGUAUUGGUUCAAUUUGUUUGAGUGUUACUAUAAGUUUGUAAACUUAUCAACUAAAUUAUUUGAUGUUAAUCUGCAAGCUCAUCAAUGCAAACAACUCUGUAUCGAACAACUUUUCUUCGUUUUCGAACUAUGGCAUCCAACUUGGUACAAGCGAGAGAUGCGUGCAAGUGUGCCCCUGAAGCGUGCUCGAACGAAAUAGAAGAGAGAUGAAUAAACUGGUUUUAAUCGUUAUAGUGAUAGAGAGAAAGCGUACAAAUCUUUAAAAUAGAAAAUGAAAUACAGGAUUCUAACAGAAGCGCUAGUAAAUUCAAACAAGUAGGACUUAAAAUGAGAAGGAAAUAUGGGAGAAGGCAACGUCAAGCCAUCUCAGGUUUGAUAAUUUCCAGAGUGCGAGUGAGGUAAACUGGACCUUUUGUCUUGACCAGCUCUGCGAGGCUGCGCCAGCGCUGGAAAUUUAUACGCAAUGACAGUUUAGCAGUCAUACAAGGGCACGCGCACAGAGCCUUGUCGACUGAAAUGGAAAUUGGCGCCCUUCAAUAAAGGGCACCAAUAUUCCUAGGACUAGUUAUGCUACUUGUAUCCCAAUUCGCAAGCUUAAACACAAAUGAAAUUGCUUUCGCCCUAAACAGGCCUAAUUUUCAUUUAUGUCCCAAACAGUAAAUCCCAACGCUAUGGUGCCAACAACCGUGGACAAGGUCAAGGCCAAGGAUGAAAUAAUAAAGUGCGUGCUCCAUAUCAAUAGAAAUGAGAUGCAUUUGGUCAAGUAGUGAAUUGACAUGAAAAAGUGCUUCUAAUUUUUAGAUGUGAAUCAUGUGAUAGUUCAAGUAAGAAGUAACUUUGUUCAUAUCAAUCUGAGACGCAUGUUCAGUUGCCUAACUUGGCUUGUUAACGAAUGACUUAAAUUAAACAUAACACAGUAAACAAACAAUACUGAGUACACCCUAUUCGUUGACUAAGCAUCAACAUUCGAGUCUUUGACAUAUCAUGUUUAACUCCUCUGCACACACAGAGUAUAACAUCAUCACCUAAAAUAUGAACCAGAAAGCAAAAGCAUAUAAAAUUUCUAUUUUGAAAAUCUUGCUUUUCAUUGUUUGCCAGCAUAUCAGAAUGUGUGUAAGCGUGUGCUUGCACGUGUGUUUGUGAAUAUGACCACUCUUUAUCAAGGACCAUAAAGCACGGAGGAAGAAAACAAACAAUUGUUUAAACAACCUUCAUUUUUUGCUGUGAUAAGUAAAAAGGACAACAGCAUAUAUUCACAGAGAUGACUGUUAUCAAGCUUAAAGGGAACGACAUCCAUGACUCAGCACGGGAACAUAUAAUUACAUAGACUUAAUAAAAUUAAAAUAGAAUCUGUUAACCCUUAAACUCACCUGAUUUUCCUCUGUGGAGUAUUUGAGUAUCCUCAGCUAUCAAUUGCGACAAAGUGUCAACAUUAACCUUCUGCCAACAUGUGCAUAAGAAGUCAGAGUAAGACGUUAUUCAUUUUCUGUGAGAGAGAGAAAGAGAGAGAGUUCAGCUGAUACCAUGGAAAACCAUUACAAAGGCCACAUCUCUAGUUCACAUGUUCAACGAACGUGCAACAAAAUCCAUUCAAAACCUAUAAUACAUCAUCACAAAGGACAUAUCUUUAUUCAAGACUUUGGGUCUACAGGUCUAUCUCCAGCUAUAAGUUUUCAGUUUUCGUUCUUUUGAGCAGCUAGCCUACAUCAAAGCACUAGUUCCUUUUCAGGCAAAAUAGGAAUAUACGCGGAAAAAUUAAGGCAUUUCGUCUGAUUUCAAAACAUGAAUAUGGUCAGAGGUAUUCUUUUUACUGCCAACAGAAAGCAUGUCUCUGGCUAGUAACAGAAGCAAAAAGCAUGGAACAAGCAAACAUUGUUAUUGGAACCUGACAAUCAAAAUCAUCCGCUAGCAAAGAAGGAACUCAGAAAUUAUAGAAAUGCAGAGCACAUAAUCAAGGCAGUAUAAGGAAUGAUAGGUGAAAUGAUAGGUGAACCAACCAAGGAGUUGAGCAAAGAAGGUGUGCAACCGUCACAGCAGCAGAGCUGAACUCAUUUGCACUCAACGUCAGCUUCAGCAGCUCGGUGAGGCUUAUUUUUCUGCCUACUCCCAUAUUGUCGGAAUCCAACAGACUUUUUUUGGGUUAUCAAGACUUGAUUUUGUUUCAAUCAUUUUAUCCUCUUUGACUGAUUUUAUAGUUUCUUUGACCUGAGCCGACCUCUUCCUUUUCCUUCCAUUCUCUAUGGCACAUUGGUCUUUCAUGUCUUUGCUCAAAACAUGACCUUUUGCAUCAUCGCCAUCUUCUGUCUUCAAAGCCACUUAUCCUUCUCCAAUAUCGUCCUUCAAUGUCUUUUGUGGCCUUCCUCUUCUCCUGCUUGGUAGAAUCCCUUCCUCUUCACUUCCGGUAUCCUCACGAGCAGCAAUAACGUUUUGUUUCUUUGCUUUUCCUCUACCUCUUCCCAUAGUAAAAAACCCCCGUGAAGAAAUUUCCCAACUAAAGGAAUUUUCGCAAACACAAACCAAUUAUUUCCAAAAACUACACUGUGUAGCUGAAUGAACUCCACCUAUCAACUUGCAAAGUUUGUUUGACAGAAUACAAAUGUAAGCUAUCUGCAAGCAGAAGACGACUGAAUCAAAUCCAUAUCAGCCGCCAAUGAUAAGGUUAAUUCCUAUCUCUCUUUUCUUUCUCUUGAAUUCAAUUAAGAAGAAAGAAAAUGUAGGUUCAAACCCUUGAUCUCGAUAAUUCCAAAUAUCCAAAACCAAAAGCGCAUCUUAAUCCUGCCAAGAUAUUCAAAUAUCAAACGAUUGUACUGGCUCAGUUUAAUCAUGUUAGUAUAGAGAAGUCGAAAGGGAAAUGAACGGAAAUACUUAAACAGUAACUAAGUACCACGAAACAGGUAAACCCGUUGUAAAAUUCAACCCGAACAACUUAUUUACUAGUAACUGCAGAUCAACAAGAAAGACCGAUCCUUUUUGGAUAAAAAACCAACAGCAAGGCAAACCAUUCUGGCUUCACUUUUAUAAAUCCAAAUCCUAAUCCCAACUUUGGCUGCUGCAAGAAAGAAUCCAUAGAUUUGAACCUUAAGACUAUGCUUUGAGUUUCAGAUUAUGAUGAACUAACUCCGCCCACUUCCAAAAUUCUCAGGUCCAAAACAAUUAGAAAUCCACGAUGACAAAAGCAAAUUAUUUUCUUUUCUCUACCACUUAUUUUCAUAUAACAAAACAAAAGCAUUCAUAUGAGAGAAUCAAUAUAUGUGCAACAUGGAGAAGAAAGAAGAAGGAAGGGCUGCUGACCUGAAAGCAAAUAUCCACUUCCUGCAUCUCAUUCAUAAAACCCAUUUCUCGGAUUCUGAUUAGACCAAUCAAGAAACCAACAAAAACCCAUCAACCCAGAAUAGCCUUGUUUUUUCUAUCACUGGUGAUGAAGUUAGCAGAACCCAAAUGAAAUUGAAAACUAUGACGUGAAUAAACAAGUAACGAAGACCCAGAUCAGAAAAAGAUGUGCUUAGAGAGAAAGGUUAGCAGAAAUAAUGGAGGCUGAAGAGAUUAAUCAAAAGCAAUAAGAUUUUGAGAGCUUUUAAAGGGAGGAAGAAGGCAGAGGGAAAUAACUUGAAUAGAGAAAAGGGAAGAGAAAGUAGUGAGAGUUUGGUUUUGUCGUGCUCUUCUUAGUUCCUGGUCCAAGUGUCUUUACCAAGGGUUUCUUGCUUUAGUACCAAAACAACACCACAACCCAAACACGAAUCAUCAAUUUCAAAAGAACCAGAUGAGCAAAAAGUGAGAAAAACUCAAGCUCAUCUUAACAAAAAUCAAAUGGAUAUUAUAUGUAAUCUGAAUAAUCUCUUCAUAUAUGUAAGUUGAACCACAGUGUAUGUUGAAAACAACUAAAACUAAUGAAAGUACGAAUUCAUAUACAAUCAAUCCGAAUAAAAUAAAGAAUACAUUUAAACUACUUGGGAGCUCUUCUCGGCUUGGAACAUCGAUUCAUUUAAACGGCGGUAGAUAAAAUGCGAAACCCAAGCCACCAACACAAGAAGCGCGGUAGCAGCCCCACCGACAAUCACAAGAUUAAGAACCGGGAGCGGUCGUGUGAUUUUUGAGCUUAGUGACAUUGCCUUCGAAGAACCUGCUGGUGAGGAUGGAGAAGGAGAGGGGCUUGGACUAAUGACUGGAUCUUCUAUUUCGAGGGCAUUGAUCUUGAUUUUAAUCUUUUGGCCGGCUUUGCAGUGACCAGGUUCACCACAAAUAACGUAGUAGGUGCCGGGUAUAUCAAAAGUUAAGGCGGUAAAGGUACCGUAAUGAGAUAGGGGAAGUGAUGGAAUGCAAUAGUCAUAAUCUGAUUGAGUGACUAUCAUCACAAAAUCGUUUUCAUGUUUGUAAUUAAAUAUGAACUCGUCACCCACAUAAAAAAAUUUCGAUGAAGCCCAUUCGUUGUAAUCAACCGCACCACUGUCGGUCCACCCUUCCAAAUCGCCACCAACCGUAUAAAUGGUAGCGGAACAAGCACCAAAGAAAAUCAUCAUGAUGAUGAAACUCACGACAGCAGUGUUUCUUAGAGCCAUGACUGAAACAGUAAAGAAAAAACAAGCAAGGAGUAUGCACGUAGACAAAUUUAGAUGAAAGGUAGUAAUGCCCGAGCAUGCGUAUAUAUAGGAAAGGUAUAGUUAGUGUCCGAAAUGGAAAAUGUUCCCCAAAUCCAGUUGGAAAACGAUUUAUAAAAUCAGACAAGUAGUAGGAAUUCUAUUUAGGAAUAAUAUUGCCCAAGCUUAAUUAAUAAUCGAAUUCCAAUUUGCUGCCGUUUUGUCGGCUGCUUUUGCUUCCAACUUCUGCUUGUUUCCAUGUAUGAUGAAACAUUUUAUUUUUAUUAUAAGUCACAGUGGAGAAGCGACAAUCGAACUCGGGUCUUCGGGUUGCAUGAUGCAAAUUUAGUGCAUAAAAGGAUUCCAAUUUCUUAUUAGCAUUUGGAAUCUUUGUUGCUGUUUUUAUGGCAUGGCCAGAGACAAGACUCAUUUACUUUGUGCCUGAUUGUCGAGAGAAGCAGCACUGCUUCGGUGUCACUGGCUCCCUCUUUGUGACGAGAGAUACAAAGAGCAGUAUUGACACCGGAUAGAAAAGCAUUUAUCCCACUAGCGAGGCCUCGACUGAGCAACUUUGAGCCGCCAACAAAACCAUGGUGGCAAUGGUCUUUAUUGUUAGAGUAUAUAUUCAAUGGUCCAUGAUUGUGACACUUGUCACAAUCUUGGUGUAUUGGUUAGUUAGUGACUAGUUUUGUAACUGCCUAUAUAAGGCAAGGUUGUUGUAUUACUUAGUAAGAAAGAAAUAUACUUUACAGAAAAUUCUCUUCUCUUCUUCUCCUUCCUCUCUCUCUACUUUCUCUCUCUAGUUCUUGCAUACUAUAGAAAGAUUACAAAAAGAUAUACAGUUCAACUCAUGAAGAUUAACAUGGUAUCACUAGCCAUUGUUGUUGACGCGUGAUCUUCGAUCCUUCUUGCUUCCGCUUCUUCCUCCUUCAUCUUCGGUAUCCUCGGAUUUUCUUAUCAGACUCAAUCUUCUUUGCUUUCUAGGGUUUUGUUGUCGAUUAUUCAUUGUGAUUGAUUUCUGGUUCGAUUUGUUGUGUGCGAUCUCUGCACAUUAAGUAUUUGUGAAAAUUUCUGACUAAAAUUGGGGUUGUGCUUCAAGAAUCUGCAAUCUUGCGUGAAAGAUGGUGACUACAUCUCAGCUACAGUUGCUUCAAUCUCCGGUUACGAACCUUAUUUCGUCGAUCUCGACCUCCGUUAACAUCAAGCUUGAUGACUCCAAUUAUCUUAAUUCGCAUUUUCAAAUGCAACUCUUGUUGGAAAGCAAUGGUAUUAUGGGAUUUUUGGAUGGCUCGAACCCUUGUCCGUCUCAAAAUCUCUCAUAAAUUGGUGGAUCUGGUAUUAAUCCCUCUGCCUCUUCUACUUCUACUGAGAAUGAUGCUUUUGUGAUUUGGAUAAUGCAUGAUAGGGCUAUAAUGCAAUUGAUUACUGUGACUUUAUCACUUGUGGCUAUGUCAUGUGCUAUUGGGAGUCAAAGCUCGAGAGAUCUUUGGAAUCGUUUAAAGGCGCAAUGUUCCACUGUAUCCAAAACAAGUAUAUUUCAGAUGAAGUCGAACUUGCAGACAAUUAAAAAGGGGUCUGAUUCCAUUUCUGUUUAUCUGCAAUGAAUUAAAUAAGCUAGGGAUUAUUUGUCAGCUACUGGAGUGUUCUUUCAAGAUGAGGAUAUUGUAAUACUAGCUCUUAAUGGUUUGCCCUCUGAAUACAAUACUUUUCGUUGUGUCAUCCAAGGUCGUGAAAGUGUCAUUUCCCUAAAAGACUUUCGAGCACAGUUACUUGCUGAAGAAGUCAUUGUUGACAAUCAUUCGAAUGCAUCUUUUAUGACUGCUAUGGUUGCUAAUUCUCAGCCUAAAAAUGCAUCAUCCUCAUCACAGUCGUUUGGCAAUACUCAUGGUCAAUCCCAAUUUGCCUUUGGAGGUUACAAAGCUUACAAUGGGAAUAAAAAUAAGGGCAAAGGCAAGUAUUAGGGACACAGAUUCUUCAAAUCCCAGACUUGUGUACUCAAAUCAGGCGCAUAUUUUGUCUACUCCUGCAUCAGGAGAUAUGUGGGGUCUUCAUCUACACCUAUGUUUCCUCCAUGUCAGUUAUGUAACAGUGAUGGUCACACUGCUCCAUUUUGUGGUGCAAAGCCUCCAGACAGGCAUGGCUGUCAAAUCUGUGGAAAAACAAAUCAUGUGACUUGGUUUUGUUUCUACAACGAUAAAAGGCCUAACUAGCUGUCCUCGUUCACCACAAUCAUAUGGGUUCCAAUUUGCACAUCCUAACCUUCACAUGUUGCCUCCUUCAUCUCAGUAUUCAUAUCAAGGGUUUCCACAACAACAUACACAUCAGCUACAGCAAUAUCCAAUGCAUGUUAUGCACACUGUGUUCAAUUCUACACCUCAAACUGCAACUCCAUCAGCACCUCCACAAGUUUGGUUGAUUGAUUUUAGAGCAACCAAUCAUAUGACUGCUAACAUGAGCAACUUAUCAUUGGCAUCACCCUAUCCUACUAGUGAGACCAUACAAACUGCCAAUGGUGAAGGUUUACAAGUCUCCCAUAUUGGGAAUUUUAUCAUUCAUACUCCAGCAAAACCAAUCAAAUUAAAUUAUGUGUUAUAUGUUCCCAAGUUAACACAAAAUUUAUUGUCAGUACAUAAGAUUUGCCUUGAUAAUAAUUGUUGGCUAAUCUUUGAUGCAUUUUGUUUUCGGAUGCAGGAUAAGGCCACAUGAAUGAUUCUCUACAAAGGGCUGUGUAGUAAUGGACAAUAUCCCAUUUAUUCCCUUUCCUAUACCAACUCCAGUACUUCACAAAGUCAACCAUCAGCAAAAGCUUUUCUGGGACAGCUUGUUAAAUCGCAGCUUUGGCAUCAUAGGUUAGGUCAUCCAACCAACCAUGUUGUUUCUCUUAUGUUAAAUAAAGCCAAUGUACCUAGUACCCCUUCUAAGUCAUCUGUUUUGUGCCAUCAUUGUCUUGAAGGCAAAUUUAGCAAAUUACCCCUUCCAACUCAUGUCAAUAAGUCUAUUAAGCCUUUUGAAAUUGUGCACAGUGACUUUUAGGGUCCUGCACCUUGUGUCUCUGUUGAUGGUCACAAAUAUUAUGUAAUCUUCAUUGAUGAAUAUAGCAGACAUUGUUGGCUUUUUCCAUUGAUAAACAAGUCUAAUAUGUACUCUACCUUUCUUGCAUUCUAUUUUUUUUGUACUUAAUCAAUUCUCUACUACGAUUAAGAUUUUACAAAGUAAUGGUGGGGGAGAGUAUAUGAGUCACAGGCUUCAAUCUUUUCUUCUGAACAAAGGUAUUGUUCAUCAUAAGUCCUGUCCAUACACACCUGAACAAAAUGGGUUAGUUGAACGCAAACAUAGGCAUAUUAUAGAAACCACUGUGACAUUAUUGCAAACUGCUAAACUGCCACAUCAAUUUUGGUCUUAUGCUUGUCAAACUGCUACCCAUCUUAUAAAUAGAAUGCCAACUGUUGUUCUUAAAAACAGGUCACCAUUUGAACUUUUAUUUGGCAGUGCUCCAUUAAUAUCACAUCUUCGAAUAUUUGGUUGUGUAUGUUUCCCUUUGUUAAAACCAUUCAACAGCACCAAACUUCAACCCAAAACCACAAGAUGUAUUUUUCUAGGAUAUGCUUCUAAGUAUAAGGGGUAUAUGUGUUAUGAUGUGCCUAAGAUAAGGAUUUACAUUUCUAGGCAUGUUAUUUUUUAUGAACACCAAUUUCCAUAUGCAGAUUUAAUGAUACAAUCCACUAGUACUAAAUCUAAUUCAUCAGUUCUCACUUCAUCCUCCAUUCCCAUAUCAGUGGUUAAUACAAACAAUGUCAUUGUGUCUCCAUCACCAAUAUCUUCUAAUACACCAGUAUCGGUACCACUUCAUUCAUUCAAUAUACCAGAUAUUCAUCCAAAUCCUUCACUUAAUCCUCAGUCCAUUACUAGUGCACCUGAAUUUUCCUCUCAGCUCCCUGUGGUACUUGAUCCAAAUACUAUAAUAUGUACUCAGAACACUGAGUUUCAUCCUGAUUCUCUGCAAGCUGUUUUGGAUAUUCCUUCAAUCAAUUUGCAUCCAAUGCAAACUCGAAGCAAAAGUGGUAUUUUUAAAAAGAAGGCUUUACUAGCAUCUAUUCAAGAUUCUGAGGGGAUUGAUUUGUCCACAAUUGAACCAAGCUCUUAUAAGUCUACUCUUAAAAGUCCUAUAUGGUUCAAAGCCAUGCAAGAAGAACUGGAUGCUCUCAAAGCUCAGGGUACUUGGACUCUGGUUUCUUUGCCAUCUACUAAAAAUCUUGUUGGCUGCAAGUGGAUCUUCAAAAUCGAAAGACACUUUGAUGGAUGGAUCUAUUGCUCGACAUAAAGCUCGUUUGGUAGCUAAGGGGUUUAGUCAAGAACCUGGUUUGAAUUAUGGUGAGACUUUUAGCCCUAUGGGAUCUUAGACAAUUGGAUGUUAAAAAUGCAUUCUUACACUUUGAUGGAUGGAUCUAUUGCUCGACAUAAAGCUCGUUUGGUAGCUAAGGGGUUUAGUCAAGAACUUGGUUUGGAUUAUGGUGAGACUUUUAGCCCUAUGGUUAAACCUACUACUGUGAGGUUAGUACUUGCUCUUACUGCAAAUUUUGGUUGGGAUCUUAGAUAAUUGGAUGUUAAAAAUGCAUUCUUACAUGAAGUUUUGGAAGAAGAAGUUUAUAUGACUCAACCACCUGGUUUUCAGGAUCCCAUUAAUUCUCAUUUGCCUAAGUUGGGAUUUGUCAAUACAUAUGCAGAUUCUUCUAUGUUUGUCAAAUAUGUUGAAAAUACAAUUGUGAUCCUUCUGCUUUACGUGGAUGAUAUAAUCAUCACUAGGACUGCUACAACUUCAAUUUCACAUUUUAUCAGUGCUCUUACUACUGAGUUCGAUAUCAAAGAUAUGGGGCCCUUACAUUUUUUCUUGGGCAUUCAGAUUUCCAAGACUACCAGUGGAUUGUUUCUGUCCCAAACUAAAUACAUUCAUGAUUUGUUAGUGAAGACUGAAAUGCUUGAAGCAAAAGCCUGUGAGACAUCAUGCCUUCCAUAUAAUCGCCUUCUUAAACAUGAUGGUGAUCCUUAUGCUAAUCCUGGUGCUUAUAGGAGUAUUGUGGGAGCUUUACAGUAACUUACUUUCACUAGGCCUGACAUUGCAUUUUCAGUGCAUCAGGUAUGCCAAUUUAUGCAGAAACCUAUGGUAGCUCAUUAUACUACUGUAAAACGAAUUCUCAGGUACUUAAAAGGUACUAUGAAUGUGGGUGUUACCUAUACUCGAGGAGAUCUUCACCUCAAGGCCUUUAGUCAUGCAGAUUGGGCAGGAGAUCCUAAUGACAGAUGGUCCACUACGGGGUUGGUUGUGUUUUUAGGUUCAAAUCUCAUAUCUUAGUCCUCAAAGAAACAACAAACCGUGUCUAGAUCAUCUACUAAGCAGAAUAUAGAGCUCUUUCUUCCACUUCUGCAGAAUUAGAUUGGAUUAAGCAAUUGCUUGCAUUUCUGCAUAUUCCCGUGACUAUACCUCCAGUUCUUUUCUAUGAUAACUUGUCAGCUAUUGCCCUGUCAUUUAAUCAUGUGCAACACCAGAAGACUAUGCAUAUUGAAAUCGAUGUCCAUUUUGUUCGAGAACAAGUGGCCAAGAAACAGUUGACAGUGCAGUUUGUUUUGUCCCAAGAAUAAUUUGCUGAUAUAUUGACCAAAGGUUUAAGUGGUCCUUUGUUUAGAACUCAUUGUAUCAAUCUCAUGCUUAGUUCAUUAAAGCAUGAGCUUGUGGGGGGAUGUUAGAGUAUAUAUUCAAUGGUCCAUGAUUGUGACACUUGUCACAAUCUUGGUGUAUUGAUUAGUUAGUGACUAGUUUUGUAACUACCUAUAUAAGGCAAGGUUGUCGUAUUACUUAGUAAGAAAUAUACUUUACAGAAAAUUCUCUUCUCUCCGUCUCCUUCCUCUCUCUCUCUCUCUCUACUUUCUCUCUCUAGUUCUUGCAUACUAUAGAAAGAUUACAGAAAUAUAUACAGUUCAAUUCAUGAAGAUUAACAGUUAUUACAAUUAAUUUUGAGCAAAUCUAAUAGUGAUAGGUUUACCGAAUGAUGGUAGACAACAAAGUUUACGAUGAAGAUGUCUUGACUUGAAACCCAUGUAAUCAUUCUUUUUGAUAAAGCAAACCGGAACACAACAAAUUGAAAGAUUUCGAAAUAAUGGCUAGCAUUCUAAAAUCAUAGCUUCAGAAUUCUGCACUUUAGAACUAUUGAAUUAUAAGCAAUGAGCUGAUUAGAGUAUAGUGAAUUAGCCAUGUGUUUAAUUUUGUAUUCACUUAUGUUUAAGAUUACCAAGUGUAAGGCUCUAAUAUAUAAGGUCAUGAGUGCCAUGUGUAAUGAUCCUAGUUAUUAGCUAGAUGAGUGGCUAAGAUCAGCUUCUAUAGAAAGAGUGAUCGAACUAAGUUUUUCUAACGGUAUUAUUCUCUUUGCACGACUUGUGUGUGGGAGUGAGAGAAGCAAUCAAUGAGAAGAAUAUUUCCUCUGUGACUUGCAGAGAAAGAAGCAACCAUUUUCCUCUCUCUUGUGCAUUCAUCUCUCUUCAAUUCUUCUUCUUCCAAAAUAUCAAUUUACUGAGCUAAAUUCCAAUUUACACUAACAAGAACCACAACACUGGUUUUCCAGCAACUUGUUCAUAAAGCUAAAACUCAUCAAAAAGGACAAUUAAGCGUUGCAGUAUUUCGGUUGCUCCACAUUCUUAAAACACUUGCAGAAAUUGAAAAGCCGUGACAAGAAUGGAUAUAUUAAAUCGAAAUCCAUUGCACAGCUUUUGGGUGUAUACAGAGUCCAACUUAUGAACCUUGAAAAAAAGUCUAAAACUCUCCCAUAGAUUUGCCUAGGGUGCAUAGUUUUAUGGAAAGAAAUCAGUUUCGACAAAAGAAAAACUGGAAGAAAACAACCCAAUGUUAGAAAAAUGUUGAAGGAGAAUAAAACUUGCUGAACCUGGUUUCUUAAAACUAGACCCAACCAAUCAAGUUACGGGGUGUUAUACUGACUUCAUAUCGCUCUUGACUAUGAACAAGAGCUAGUGACAUCAAAGACCAGUUCAUUUAUGGAGAAGAGUCACGAGCUACCUGAUGGACAGGUAAUCACUAUCGGAGCUGAAAGAUUCUGCUGCCCUAAAGUCCUCUUCCAGCCAUCCAUGAUUGGAAUGGAAGCUGCCGG